rnacentral:lncRNA from 1 species
AGGGCAGAGACGGUGGACGCGGCACGAAUUGAAGAACCUCAAAACGCCGCGGCAAGCGGCAUUGUGGCCGUUGAAUGGCGGGGUUGUAGCCCUCAAGCCGCAUCCAACCAUCACCAAAUGCACUAUGCGGGAAGCCAUCUCCGGUGAGGUGUCCGGCGUCCCCGAACUUCUCCAGGAUCCAACGGCCAUCGGAACCGGAGAUAUGGACAACGCUGAUUGAGGUGUUAGGAAUUUUCUUGCCAACCGAGAUCGUUGGAUCGGCGUGCCUGCAGAUUUCCUCUAUGACUGCCUCAUGGGAGACGACGACCACCCGCUCACCUUUUAACGCAACACGCGACAGCUUGAAAUUCACCACCAGGUGCAAGUUUUGACCAUAUAGAGAGCACAAGAAAUUACUAUGUGGAUUAGUGCUUACCCUUGUGCUUCUUGGCGAUUUCGUUCAAGCGGGAAACACAACGCUCAGAAAGUUGAUCAAGACUCUCCCCGCCACCCUGUCCAAAGGAGAUGACUAGUGAGUAAUAUAUAGCAACCAACAGGGGAAAAGCAUGCCUAAGCCUAGCUUUUACUUCGACUAAGACUAAGUACAACUUUGAGAGGAGAAUGGAAAUUAGUUACAGGUAUUUCUUGGUCUCUGCCACCGCAUGCGAAAGCCUUGUAAGCUUCAGAUCUCUUGGCAUCGUCAAUGGUCCAACCUUGGAACAAUCCCAUGUGCCUUUCCGUCAGUGCCCGAUCAAUCACCAGCUGAAACAAACAGCAGCCCAUUUAUUCAUGAAGCGAGAAAAAUUAGCACAAACUAUUACUAGUAUUCAAAGAAUGUUCAUACAUCAGAAUCAGAUACGCAGCAAUGCUCUGCGAUCGUUUGCGCAGUCUCGGAAGCACGCUUCAAGUCAGAGGAGUAGACGGCAGCUGGCUUGGCUUCUUCCGACAGACGACGGGCAACCUUGAGGGUUUGAACAAAAUCAGAAUCACGUACAUAUCUCAAGUCAUGACGAUCUCACAAAGUAUGGCGUACCUUGGCAGCUUGCUGCCUACCAGUUUCGUUCAGCUCCUGAUCGAUCCGUCCCUGUUGAAACUUAAAAUAAGCCUUAACACAUGUUGUAUUGCAUCGCAGAGGGAGAAUCAUAUCUAAGUGAUGCGAUAAGUAGCAAGCUGUGACAGGACAGGAUGAAGAAGAAGCGACCUGAAUGAUGCGGGAGACGUUCCAAUCCGUCUGUCCAUGGCGCACCAACACCACCUCCGCGAAGUGCUCGCCAUGCGGCGAUGCAGGUGCCAUUGAUCGAUCGGCCGGCGUUAUUGCUGCAGAGGGAACGAAGGGGAGAUGGAUGGUCUUGCUCUAGCUGGCUUGCAGAGGUUCCUUGAAAUCUGGAACCUCUCUGCUCUCUUGUGCUAUAUGAUUGGCCAUCUGGGGCGACUUCAUAGGAGGCCAGAGAGGCCAGAGAGUAGAUUAUAAUUCGUGUACGUUUUGAAGAUGGAAAGAUGGCGACCUGCUAGUUGACUAAUAAAUUAGAAACACGGUUUGAUUUGGUUUGGUUUCGAGAGCAAUUUUGGUUUAGUUUGGUUUCAAGAGCAAUUUGAGCAACAACACCCAUUCCAACAGCAGGUUCGGCUUCUCCAGCAAGUACGUGGCCAACUAAGCUGGUCGGCGGACCAAAUUAAAGAAGCUAUCCACUUUCUUCUCCAUCAAGAUACCCUGUGCUAUAUAAUUACCCCCAUCCACAUCAAGAUACCCUGUGCUAUAUAAUUACCCCCAUCCACUUGUCAUCUGCGUUCUUAAUAUUUCUCAGAGUUGACUGUAAUCUCAUCUUGGUUUAUUUAAGUUGGAAAGAUAAUUGCCUGCUAUUUAAGAAAAAAAAACACGGGAAGAGCAACAGCGCGUUUGGUUUCUGCUCCAAGUCUAAAGUCUUCCAAGUUUGUGGAAUCAUUAGAAUGCUGAUGAUUGCUAUUCAGCCAAGCAAAGGAAACGCGGUUGCAGAGUGAUGAUACAUCCAAGUUCAUGACAUUUAUACUAGAGCACACGCCCAAGAAAAUGGCAAUGUAAAAACACGGAGAGGCGGAGGCAGUCGGCGGCCGCAGUGAGAGGUGUGCGAGCGCGAGGGCGGAGGUGGCGGACGCGGCACGAAUUGAAGAACCUCAAAACGCUGCGGCAAGCGGCAUCGCGGCCGAUGAACGGCGGGGUUGUACCCCUCAAGCCCCAUCCAACCAUCACCAAAUGCACUAUGCGGGAAGCCAUCUCCGGUGAGGUGUCCGGCGUCCCCGAACUUCUCCAGGAUCGAACGGCCAUCGGAAUCGGAGACAUUUACAACGCUGAUUGAGGUGUUAAGAAUUUUUCUGCCAACCGAGAUCGUUGGAUCGGCGUGCCUGCAGAUUUCCUCUAUGACUGCUCAUGGGAGACGACGACCACCCGCUUACCUGUUAACGCAACACGCGACAGCUUAAAAUUCACCACUAGGUGCAAGUUUUAACCAUACAGAGAGCACAAGAAAUUACUAUGUGGACCGGUGCUUACCCUUGUGCUUUUCGGCGAUUGCGUUCAAGCGGGACACAGCGCUCGGAAAGUUGAUCAAGACUCUCCCCGCCACCCUGUCCAAAAGGAGAUGACUAGUGAGUAAUAUAUAGCUUUUACUUUAACUAAGACUAAGGUCCCGUUUGGUAGGGCUUCUCAAAGUGCUUCUCCACCGGUUUUUGGUGAAGUCCUACUAAUGGGUCAAUUUCAAAACGGCUUCACCACCAAAGCCAGGGAGAAGCCGCAAAACGGCUUACACUAGAGAGGAGAAGCCAAAAAAAGUGGCUUCACCGGCUUCUCCUCCCUCUCCAAGCAUUAAGUGAUCAUAAAAUUACAUAUAUUGCCAUUGAGAAGCCGUUUUACCAAAUGUUUUGCAAAAUGGCUUCAGCUUCACUAAAAAAGCCACUCCACCGAAAAAGCCGAAGCCGAAGCGGAAAUUACAUAUAUUGCCAUUGAAAAAUUACUAUGUGGAUCGGUGCUUACCCUUGUGCUUCUCGGCGAUUGCAUUCAAGCGGGAAACACAGCGCUCGGAAAGUUGAUCAAGACUCUCCCCACCACCCUGUCCAAAAGGAGAUGACUAGUGAGUAAUAUAUAGCUUUUACUUCAACUAAGACUAAUUAAGUACAACUUUGAGAUCAGAGGAGAAUGGAAAUUAGUUACAGAUAUUUCUUGGUCCUGCCACCGUGAGCGAAAGCCUUGUAAGCUUCAGAUCUCUUGGCAUCGUCAAUGGUCCAACCUUGGAACAAUCCCAUGUGCCUUUCCGUCAGUGCCCGAUCAAUCACCAGCUGAAACAAACAGAAGUCCAUUUAUUCGGAUGAUAUAUAGAACACCAAUAAUUCGUGAAGCGAGAAAAAUUAGCACAAACUAAUACUAGUAUUCAAAGAAUGUUCAUACAUCAGAAUCAGAUACGCAGCGCGAGGACGGAGGUGGCGGACUAGGCACAAAUUGAAGAACCUCGAACGGCCGCGGCUAGCGGCAUCGCGGCCGUUGAACGACGGGGUUGUAGCCCUCAAGCCGCAUCUAACCGUCCACGGAUUUGGGCCAUUGAAUAGCUUAUUUUUUUUAAAGAACAGGAGGGUAAACCCCUACUGAUUAUAUAUUAAAUUGAAAGGAUACAAAGAAAAUGGCACAAAUCUAAAGAGAGAAAAUAAAAAAAAAGGAAGAGGAAGAGAAAAAGAAAAAAGGGAAAAAGACAAGCCUAGGAGUACAAGCUAAGAGAUUACAGAGUAUGUAACCAGACAUUCAUAGCAAGCACUAAAGCAGGGUGCGCUCUAUGGGGUAACAAGGAAAAUUCAGACAUGAAUUUCCUUUUGCACAAUUCCACUGAUGGAUUGAACAUCCAGUCAUUCCUAGUCAUCCAGAUGCUCCAUGACAUAAGAAUUAUGAUUUCCAUGAAGAAAGGAACAUGCUCCAUGACAUAAGAAUUAUGAUUUCCAUAAAGAAAGGAACAGCAAGCUUGUCCUUGAUUUGUUUGAAAAUCCGAAGGAUUGGUUUGGUGGUGAUAACUGAUACUCCAAUUGAAUUCCAGCAUGCUUUGGCAAAGUUACAUUGGAGGAAUAGGUGUGCCACAUAUUCCAUCUUUUGUAAUAUACAUAGUUCGCAAGUGUAGGAGUCAAGAUCCAUUUGUUUCCUUCUCAAUAUAUCUCUUGUACUCAGACGAUCUUUGAGCAAUAACUAGAAGAAGACCUUGUGUUUGAUCUGACAUUUAGAUUUCCAAAGUCAGAAAUAUGCUGGAUGGGUAUUCCUCUACCCAAUGAUAGCCUUAUAUGCUUUGGAUGUUGAAAACAUUGAAUUGCCCCAAAUGUAUGUACACCUAUCAGGUUCUUGUACGGUAUUCAUGCCAUCAAUGAGUUGUUGCAGGAUAUGGUAUUCAUGCCACCAAUGAGUUGCUGCAGGAUAAUAAAUUGUGAAUGUGCCUGGGUUGUUAGGGGUAAGUUGAAAUUCUGGAUGAAACUUGGUUAGUUGACAGCCGCUUUGAAGGUGAUGUUGUAGUCUUUGGCAAAUGAGAUAAGCUCCGGAUGAACCUGUGAUUGCACUGCUCCAUUCCAAAAGUCUUUUCAAAAGAGUACUGUGGAGCCUUCUGCCACUAGAACUGAAGCAAUUCCUUUGUAUGUAUCCAAUAAUUUGACUACAUCCCUCCAUCAAAAGGAGCCUUUUCUUUGCUAACCCAGUAGUCGACCAUUAGCAUAGUAAUUUUCCCAUACAAUGUUGACCCAAGGAGUGUCAACCUUGGAGAAGAACUUGUGCAGGAACUUUAGCAACAUAGCAUCAUUAUGUGUAGCAAGAUUGAAAACUCCCAAUCCACCUUGUUUCUUAGGCAAACAUACCAAAGGCCAAGCAGCUGUGGAAGGCUUCUUGGAGUUCAUGUCUGAUCCCCUCCAUAAGCAGUAUUUCCUAUAUUUGUGCAAUUUUAGCGUUGAUGUAUAGAAAACUACUGAUGAAGAGAAGACCGAGUUAACCAUCUCCAACUUGCCAACUUGACUCAAAAAAAGGGACAUGUUGCUUAACCUCUUUUCUAUCUUUUGUAUGAGGGGCAGAAAAUUUUCCAUGUUAGGCUUGGUGGUUCCUAGGGGCAGUCCCAGAUAUGUGAAGGGGAGAGAACCUUUUUGACAGUUAAAAGUUGUGGCAAGAUUCUCAAGAUUUGCUUCAGAAAUGUUUAGGGGUACUAUAGCCGAUUUACUAUAAUUGACCUUCAGUCCAGUGGAGGCAGCAAAGGUGCUAGGAAGGUCUUUGAGGAAUAAGUGCUGGUUUGGGCAGGCCUCCAUAACAAGUAGGGUGUCAUCUGCAUAUUGGAUAAUUGGAAAAUUUGUCCCUGCUCUUUCUGGAAUUGGUAGUUUAAGAAAUCCUUGGUCUUUGGCUCUAUUGAUGACUGAUUGAAGUAGGUCUGGUGCCAGGACAAAAAGAAGAGGUGAGAGGAGAUCACCUUCCCUUACUCCUCUUCUGAAGUGAAAGACUUUCCCUAGAACUCCAUUCAGAAGAAUUGAAGAUGUGUCUGAUCCUAGUAUGUCUUUGAUCCAAUUAAUCCAUCUAUCCCCGAAGCCUUGUGUUUUAGAAUUUGUAGAAUGUUCUGAUGUUCCAUCUUAUCAAAGGCUUUUCCAAAGUCUAGUUUCAGAAUCACUAAUUCUCUUUUAGAGGCCUUGCAGAUAUGUAGAUAUUCAAUGACCCAAGCCAGAUAGUCGUGUAUAGAUCUUGAUCUAAUAAAACCAUAUUGAUUUUUGUGGAUGAAUCUUAGGAUGACCUGCUGUAGCCUGUCUACAAGUAGCUUGGUGAGUAGCUUAAUUGUGGAGUUCAGGAGGGAAAUUGGUCCAAAGUCUCCAACUAAGGAUGGACAGUUCUUCUUGGGGAUCAGGAUGAUGUAUGAAGCAUUGAUGCUUCUUAGACAUAUAUUUCCUUCAAAAAAAAUCCUCACGGAGUUUGUAGAAGUCUUGAGAAAUUAGGUUCCAGCACUUCUUUAGGAACUCUACAUUAAAGCCAUUAGGUCUUGGGGACUUGUUGUUAGGGAGCUCUGUAAUUAUCUUAUUAAUUUCUUCUUAGGUAAAUGGACUUUCUAACCAGUCCAUAUUGUUGUCAACCCGAAGUAGAGAGUCAAGGUCAAAGUACAUGUGUGUAAACUUUGAGGUUCCUAUUCUUCCUUUAUAAGCGUUCCAGAGCAUUGCUGCCUUGGCUUCAUGGUCAAACACCUCACUUCUAGAAUCAUCUGUCAGAGAGGUAAUAGUGUUCUUCCUGUGUCUGAUCGACGCAUUGGCAUGGAAAAACUGAGUACACUUGAUGGGUCCAUAGACCCGGGGUUCCCAAUGGGCCUGCUUUUGCACAACACCUGGCCCAACGAGAGGUGCAGUGAUAAUGCACGCCUGGGCCGGCCCAAAUACGUGACGCCAGGCCGAGACCAUGAUCCAGCCACCGACCUGCAAUUCCGACUAGGAGGCCUGGUCGACGCCCCGACCAGAAGGCCUGGUCGGGGGCGGGACCACAGUCCGACUCCGACCAAGUUCCCCCAACUAGGGACACGCCAGACCUACGCAUACCACUCCUUCCCGACUGGCACGGUCGGGACUAUGGCGGAACUACCCAAAUUAACCUGACUAAAAUGCACUUAAGUCAUCUGACACGCGAUCAUGCACUUUAACCAAGUCAACUUGGUCAUCCGUUGGAUUUCAUCCGAUAAACCACUUACUCAGGAUCGAGAAGCAUUGCUCACAUGAAGGUGAGUGGCACAAAGAUUACAACAUUCCUAUCACAUUAACAUAGUUUGGAAGGUUGUAAACAACGAAGAAGUAAAACAAGCGGAAGCUACCCGACGAUACAUAAUACCAUGGAGAAGCCGACCAUGAUAUCAAUGACCCCUGUCCUCGCCAUCCGAGGAGGGAUCCCACUCGACUAUCCAACCCGGAGGGAGCUGGGUAGGCCAAGUGGUGCCAGCAGCCAAACUAUCGACAUUACCUGAAAAGUUAUGCCACAAGCAAGGCUGAGCAACUAAUACUCAGCAAGACUAACCUAAUAGGUGAUAACUAUUCACCGACUCCUAGACAUGCAAAACUUUUUGGUUGUGGGUUUGUUUUUGCCAAAACACCUAAAGUUGUCCUUACUUUCAACAUUUUAGCUCAAGUUCUAUGUUCAUUAACCAGACUAGAUUAGCAACUUAUACUAAACAAGCAUAGUUUCCAAACAAUUAAAGAACAAGCAUCAAGAUUAAAGUCAUCAUCAUAUUCCUUCUUUACUCAGUGCAGAAUAACGAUCAAGCAGUCCCAAACUAUGAGAGGCAGAUGAAUUAAUUUGAAUUUAUUAACCAUGCAUGGAGAACCUAAUCUCACGACAUCCGCGCACCACGAAGGGUCGCUUCACUUGUCAGCCGUCCCCAUCGAUCCCUAUGCACGUGUCAGGGCCAAACUUCCCUGGCAUGCAAUGCUGCACAGUCCCGGUCUCUUGUCGUACUGUGACGGCACUUGCACCCACAUGAUGCACCAUGGGAACCUCGUUCCAGGGACAGCAGGAGUAUAAGACACGCCCCAGUUCAAUCAGGUACUAGGCUUCCCUAUCCCAUACUAGGUAUGAGAUUAGUACUUUCAAACACUUGAUCAUGAACGCUGACAUGUUUUGACCUUAGCAAGUUCAUUACUAGACAGACAGGGCAAACCACCACAUUGGAACCAUUCCCGGUCCCGUCCGUCAUCCUUAUAGUUGUAGUAUGAGAAAACAAACAACUCCUAUAACUCGCGAGUGACAGGCAAUCACUCGACUUUUGCCAAGUCCUAUUUAGCACAACAACUACUCGACCUUAGCAACUAGUGUUCAGAUCAAAGGUACUAAAUUCAUGCAUCUACAGUUUCAAUCAACUCCUACAAACGUAAAUGCACAAUCAUAAUCAUCAAUAUAUUGCAUAAAUUUAAAACAGGGAAGCAUGCACCGGGGCUUGCCUUCAGGUUUAGAAAAAUUUAGCGGGUCUUCGGGGUCUUGAUCUAGCUCGGGCUCAACUUCCGUGUGAUGUAGCUCUGCGGCGUGUUCCUCUUCCAGUGUAGGGUGGAGCUCGUAGGUUCCGUCAGCGAUAUUAGCUUCUACACGACAUGCACAUGCAGAGAGUUCAAUUUUUCAUGCUUUCAUACGAAUGAUGUAAGACAUGACUUAUUGCUGAAAUGAAAGUUGCAUUUCGACCACAUUCACCUAAACAAGGUUUCAAAUUUCGUUACCUUCAUGAAGUAAGGUGUGUUGUGGUUUAAAACUAAGGGUUGACUUUGAUGGUGAUUGUGUACAUAUAUAAGAUUUCAUAACUUAGACUUCACAAGGAAAGUGAGGGUCGCUUUUAGGAUUGUUCGGGUUUCAUUUGGAAAGUCAUUUAUUUCUGAAUGUUUUUAUUGUACCUCUUCCAAAAAUCACCAAUUAAGUUUACUAGGACUUAACAUUUCCUUACUCAUUUAAACCGAUUCCUCAUCCAAAAUUUGUUUCCACAAACCAACACUAGCAUAUGACAUUGAGAAAUGAGCAGUACCUCACUCAUGUCAUCAAUGAGUUACUGUAAAAAUUUGGGAUCCAUUGAAUUAGCACAAAAAGAAUUAAAAUUACUUUAUUACCCAAGGGUAGCAUGCACUUAACCAUUUUUAUCUCAAAACCUACAGUGAUUCCGAGGGUGAAACUUUAACAGUGGGUUGAAGGUGUGUUAUAGAGACUUUGGUGAAUUUUUCAUGAUUUGUGGUGAAGGACAACUAUUUCCCAUAUUUUACUCCUAUUAUCUUGAUCUAAAAAGGAAAGUGGGUUUCAUCAAGCUUUAGUCAAGGUUUCAUAUUUUCCAUGUGAACUAAGCUUCAAAACUAAGCUACUCCAAGUGAUUUCAUAUUUUUCUCAGCUCUAGAUUAAAACUUAUGCAAAAAGAAAGAUUUAACCCUAGAUUUCAAAUAUAAAGCUAAAACAGUGAGUUAAAGUUCUACUCCAGGGUCUUCACUAUUUUUCCAAGCUUCCAUACUUAGAAACAUACACCAUAGAGUUGGAUUUAUCUUUUUAGUAUUUUUCUUUGAUUUACUAUGAUUUAAAAGGCCUAAGCAAGAAAUGAAACUAUAGGGUCUUAUUUCCAACAGUAACAUGGGCAAGAUUAUUUUUGUAUGAAACUGGAUAGUUCACUAAGUCCAACAAAAUUUAUUUGGCAUUUUCUAAUUUUUCUACGAUUUAUGGUGCAUUUACAAAGUUUAUUCUAUUUUCUAUCAAUUUAAAACAAUUAACCGAAAGAACUUACAAUCUAACCCUCGCGUCUAAGGUUUAAUCGUGCAGUGUUCUCUAGUUCUUGUGCUAAGGCCCCUAGAAAAAGAUAAAAGACACAGGGAGGCCCCUAGCGGCGGCCGUCGCCGAUCUUCGCCCGAUUUCGGCGAUGCAAGGCUUGGGCCUGGGCAAGAAGCUAUUGGGGAGAAGCGCGUUCUCACCUAGGGUCAAUUGGCGGCGGUUAGGACGUCGGAGAGGGCUCGGUGAAGGCGGAACGCCGUGGGGACGAGGAGCGGGUCGUGGCGAUGGUCCUCAAGGUGUUCCGGUGCCGGUAGUGCUCCGGGAGGGCAAUGGGCAGCUCGGGGACGUGCGUGGUGGAGCGGCGGAGCGAGCGGCGGUCUCGAUGGGGCGCGGGGCGGCACGGAGGUGGGGCUCCACGGGAGACCCGAGCGGCAGCCCAAGGAAAAUAGGGGAGCGGUGGUGCUAGAGCUAGCGGAGGGCGGUGUAGGCGGCACCAUAAGUCCUUUUAUAGGGCCAGGGGGAGCGGCGGGUCGAGGCGGGGCUCCGGACGUGGGAAGAUAAGAUCGGAGGGGCGCUGUGGGCUGCGGGUCGAAGCUCCAUUGGCGGCGGCGCCAUUGGUCGGGGUGCGGAGGCCGUGGGAUAGGAUCCCUCGGUCAUUGGCCUUGAGGGAUUCGAAGCGUGCAUGUAACAACCCUAGGUUAGCUAAACCCUGUUUAAACUUAAAUGAAGCAAUUAACAGCUGAUUAAACAAGUCAAGGGUCAACUUUGGCCCCUAAGAGCUUAAAUAUGUGAUUAAGUCAUAAGUUAAAUUUUUAUAUAACAGCCUGAAAUUUUAUCCAACUAAGAGUUGUUAAACUCAUCAUUUCUAACAACUUUUAUUAUAAGCAUUUUGUUUGAAAUUGAGUAGAAGAGAUCCAAAAACUCAGUUUAAAAUCAGAGGCUUUUCAAAUCACUCAAAAUCCUAAGUGCUGAAAGGCAUGAAAAAGUCCCAACUUUGGGGCUCUUUAUUUCAAAAUUUCUAAUAUAAAAUCAAGCUGAGCUCUAUACACAAGUUUUAGAACUUCAAGUGCUUAAUAACUUUGAUUUUUGGAGCUAGGCCAAAAUCUGCACAAAAGUUUUCAAACUUUAGGUCAAACACAGCCAGUUUGGUCAACACCGUCACACUCUGAAAAUCGUUCCAAGUCUGAAGUUUUCAGUUUUUGCCAAACAUUGAUGCAUUUUAUCUCCAAAACCGUUUGGAUUUUGAACAAAAACUUUAUGAAUAAAGUAAACUAGGGUGCUAGGCCUACAAGUUUUGUAAAGGAGGGUAGGGGCGAGCAGUUCAAAAAUUGGUAGUAAAUCAAGCCCCAAGACCGGUCCUCCGGCAUUUUUCGCGUUCCCGCCUAGCGUCAGAGAACGCACGCGCCAGAGCCCGCACCUCGCCCGCCGUGUGGCUCCACCUCACCGGCGAGCCCCGUCACCCAACCUGCGGCCGUGAGCUGACCCGACAAGCGCCGCCUCGCCUAAUAGCCUCGCUUGCCGCGACAGCCUCGACGCGCGCCUACAGUCGGUCGCACGCCCAGUCACCCGGCCCUCUGCUACGGGUGCAUGUCCCCGCACGCGCCGCAGACCGUCGCCGCCACUUCGCCCAACGCCCUCCCGCGACAAGAUGCCACAAGAGCCGAGCCUUGCCAAUGCGCCUCCCUAACAGCCCCGCUCAUUCGCGCACGCGAGCUCUUGCCCUAUCCUGCCGCACCGCCCGUCGGCGGCAAUGGCCACUGCCGAGCCUCGCCAAUGCGCCUCCCUAACAGCCCCGCUCGUCCUCGCACGCGAGCUCCUGCCCUAUGCUGCCGCACCGCCCGUCGGCGCCAAUGGCCGCCGCCAUGGCCGGUCCACCCGGCAGCACGCGCCUUGCCCCACUCUUCGGCUCCAGCUACAGACGCGUGCCUCGCCGCGGCUAUAAUACGCCCACCAGCCUGCCCGCACUCCCUUUCACAGCUCCGCGCACCCGCACCGCCGGAACGCCCACCUGAGCACGCCGCCGCCUAAGCUCCUCCAUGGAGAGCUAGCCUCCGCCGUGCGCCACCCCUCACCGGUGCCCCUAGCCACUUCGCCGCCACCUCGCGAAGCUGCUGCGCUUGCCCAUCUCCGCCGCCCAGACCCAGCCCCGCCGGAACACCAACGCCACCGCCCGCCGCCGCAGCCGAGCAAGCCGUCUCCGCGUGCUGCCACCGUCGGACCGCCCCGCCGCCCGCAACCGCCUCAAAUCAGUCGCAGGUGAGCCCCUGCGCCUCCCCGACCUCUUGUCACCCCAAUCCCGCUGGCUAAUCGCCGGAAUUCCGACCGGCCACCGCCGCCGGCCCGCCGAGGACUCGAUUGCAUUUGAAAAAUGCGAAUUAGGGGUCUCUGUGAAGUUUUGUUACAACCUAUGGGUGAUUAGUUGAAAACCCGAGGGCCCAACCGUAAGUCUACCUGAGAAAACCCGCGCGAGGACCUGUUUGUGUAUAGCGAGGGCAUGGUUGUGAAAUCCGAAAGUUUCUGAGGGCCUAGUUGCAAAUACGUUUCGGUUUAUAUUUUUAUAUCGGCAGAAUAUAUGUUUAACUUUGAAAAUUCACCAAAAUUCGUAGAAAAUUCAGCAAAAAGUCAAACCAAUUUUGCUAGACUCAGUAUAAGAGUAGUUUUUAAUAAAAAUACUUUUGGCACAUGUCUUUGUUAGAAUUAAAUUUAUAUGAUUUAAUCCUUGUUUAAGCUAUUUAAAUCAUAACAAAUCACAGAAAAAUGCUAAAAAGGGUAAAUCCAUUUCCCAAGUGGUUGUUUCAGAUAGUAGAAGCUUGGAAAAAUAAUUUUGGAGCCCAUCUCAGAUGUUUAAAUCUCUAUUUUAGUUUUAUCAUGUGUAUCUAAGGUUGUUUUCGUCUUUUGCAUUAUAAUUAAACCAGAGAUGAUAAAAAUAUGAAACAAAGCGUAAUAGGUCAGUAGUGUAGUAUAGUUUGUAGGAAAAACAUAGAACCUGAUUAGAAGCAUCAGAAAAACCACCUUCCUUUUUAGGGAGGAAUAAAUAGGGUAAAUGUAUAGAAAAAGAUGCCCUUCAUUAAAAAUUGUGAGAAAUUCACUAGAGGCUCUAUUUCACCCCUGGAACCUACUGUUAAAAUUUCGUGAUCAGUUUCAUCUUGGUUUCUGUUUUAAUAAUGUUUAAGUAUAUGCUACCUUAGGGUAAUUGAGUAAUGCUAAUUCUUUUCAUGCACCUCCAAUGGAUCUCAAACUUAUGCAGUAUCUUAUCCUUGCCAAAGUUAAGUUACUGGUAUAUUUUCAGCUUCAUAGCUUGCUGUUAAAGAUGGAAAUAAAAUUGCAAGAUGAGCCUAGCUAAAUGAAAGAAAGAAACCUUAAUUAAUGAUAAAGGUAUUUUUUUAGGAGAGGUACAAAAGAACAUUCAGAAACAGGAUAACUUUCCGAUCUAAAGUUUAACAAGAUAGUGCAUAUAUGUACACAAUCACCAUCAAAUCAACCCCAGGCUUGUACCACACCCCACCUUCCGCGUGUAGAUAAAGAAGGUGUAAAACCUUGUUCAAGUGAAUGUGGCCCUAAUAUAACUACUUCUUCAGUACUAACUCGUGUUUUACAUCCUAUGAAAAAGUUUGGGAAUUUUUAACUUGAUGCAUUGCAUUUCGUGUAGACCUGAACCUCGCUGACGGGACUUACGAGCUUCACCCGGCGCCAGAAGGAGCCAUAGCGGAUCUGCAGCAAGUCAGAGCCGAGCCCGUACCAAAACAAGCCGAGGACCAGUUCGCUAACUCCCCGUGUGAAGGCAAGCCCCAGAGCAUGAAUUCCUAUCUUUAAAUACCUGCAAUACAAUUGAUUGCUUUGAUUGCGCAUUUACGUUCUAGGAGUUGAUUAACACCGUAGAUGCAUGAAUUUAGUACCAUUGAUAUGAACACUAGUAUAUUAAGUCGAGUAGUUGCAAUACUUAAUAGGACUCGAUAAAAGUCGAGUAAUUUCCUGUCACUCGCGAGUUAUAUAAGUUGAUUGCUUUACUUAUGUUGCAACUAUAAGGACGAUGGACGGGGAUGGGCUUAUGUUUGGUACUCGGUGGUUUGCCCCGUCUGUCUACAUGAAAUUGGACUAAGGUCGAGAUUUGAUAGUGUUCGUGAUCAAGUAUUUGAAAGUACUAAUCUCAUACCUAGUAUGGGAUGGGGAAGCCUAGUACCUGAUUGAACCAGGACGUGAGCGGAUCGUUCCACUGUCUCUGGAAACUGAGUUCUCCCCUGAUGCAUCAUGUGGUGACAAGUGCGGUCAUAGAACGGCGGAGGCCUGGUCUAUAGAGCCUUGUACCAAGGGAAGUGGGCCCGACACAGGUUUGGGAAUUGAUGGGGGUGGCUGACAAAUGAAGUGACCCUUCGCGGUGCACGGAUGUCAUGGGAUUAGGUUCACCAUACAUGGUUAAGAAAUUCGAAUCGAUUCAUCAGCCUCUCACAGUUUGGGAGUACUUGAUCGCUAUGCUACACUGAGUAAGAAUGAAAGAUAGUGAUGACCUAAUAUGGUUACUUGCUAUUAAUUAUUUGGAAACUAUGCUUGUUUAGUAUAGUUGCUAACUUAGAUUGGUAAAUGAACAUAGAACUUGUGGCUAAAAUAUUGAAAGUAAGCACCUACAUUAGUCGCUUUUGGCAAAAACAAACCCUAGAGCCAAAAAGCUUGCAUGUCUAGGUGUUGGUGGAGUAGUACCACCGGUCGGUUAAGUCUUGUUGAGCGUAGUCGCUCAGCCUUGUUGUGGCAUAUCUCUUUUCAAGUGAUGUUGAUACCUCUGAGUUCGAUGCAAGUGGCACUUGGCCUGCCCAACUUGCUCCGGGUUGGACGGUCGAGUGGGAUCCCUCCUCGGACAGCAAGGAUAAGGAUCAUUGAUGUCAUGACCGGCUUCUUCAUGAAGAUCAUGCAACAAUGUCUAGCUUUCGCUUAUUUAUUUCCGCUGCUUGAAAACUCUGCAAACUUGUUGAAUUUCGGAACUCAUGUUAUAAUAAUUCAAUGCACUUUGUUAAAUCUGGAUGGACUGUUGUAAUCUCUGUAACCACUCACCAUCGUGUGAGUCUUGCUUUAUCGAUCCUGAGUUAAGUGGUUUAUCGGAUGAAAUCCGACGGACGACCAAGUUGACUUGUUUAAAGUACAUGAUCGCGUGUUAGGUGACUUAAGUGUGCUUUAGCCAUGUUAAUUUGGGCGGUUCCGCCACAGCGCAAGCGUGGCUUUGCCGCGGUCGUGGGUUGUGGAGCGAGGCACUCGUGCGGUCACUGUCCGGGCAUCGAUAGGCGAACGGAGCUUGGCCGGUCCGAGGCGGUGGCGUGGCAUCCUCUGGCGGGCGGAGCUAGCUCAAGACGGGGCGAAGGGCAUGCGUGGCAUCAGGGAGCGGGAUAAGCGCGCUCGCCUACUAGGCAGCCGAGCGCGCGAGUUGUUGUGUCGCGGCCGUCGGUUGGGCGACGGUGAGCUCGCCAGUUGAUGGCGGCCACGCGGCGGGUAGCGUGCGGGAACGCGCGUCGCGGCGCACUCUGGCCGAGGGCGUCGCAAGGUAGGGGGAAAAGGCUAGGUUUGGGGGAUUUUUGUUAAAACUUUUUCAAAAGAACCCGUGAAACUCCAAAAGUAAAACAUGUAGUCCUAACGUCCAGCUCCAAACUUUACAAAAAGAGUUUGCUUAAAUUCGAUAUGGAUUUGAACCUAUGGAUUUGCAAAGUUCGGCAGAACGUCAGCCUCCUAGGACUUAGACAGAUUUUGGUUUUGCUGUUUUUAAGCAUUUUGGCCAACUUUGGCUCAGAUUUUGAGUAGCUUCCCAUUUGAAUCAUGCCAAGCUAUAAUUGAAGGAAUUGUUCUUCGAUCUUAGGACUCCAACUCCUAGUAAGGACUUUUCUCAGGUUCAGUUCAAUUUUUAGGAGAAACAGGCUUGCCAACAUGCGUGCUCUGGGUGUCCUUCCAGACUUAGCGCAGAAAAGCAUUUGUGCUAGCUUGACUAUUUUGAGCGACAUUGACCAAGAUUUUGAAUAGGUUUGGUUGUGAAUUAGACUUGGGUCAGUAUAACAAAGUUGUAACACACUCGCGGAACUACAACUUCUAUUAGGGGUUUGACUCGAGGUUAGAUAUAGAAUUGUGAGAUAAUAGGUUGCAAAGUAGAGGAAAAACAUGAGUUCCAGGACUUACGUUAUUUGCAGGAUUUUGAUGUACUCCUGAUUUGACUCUUAUUUUUGACCUUCUUCCACUCCAAAUUAGCCGAUGUGUUAUUAAUAAAAUUUGUUUGAAAUUAAAAGUUUUACAACUCCUAUUUGGGCAAAAAUUCAAGUUUGUAUACAAAAACUCAAGUUUCCUAUUUAACCCCAAAAGGAGAUUUUUAGGGGCAAAUUGGACAUUUCACUUCUUCUACUUAGUGACUAAUGACUUUAUUAAGUAUAACUACACCUAAUUAAGGUAGAAUUGUUACAGGGAUCGACCAGGACAACUGACAGGGGAUGCCCACUUGGUGUGGACCCAGGGAGUAGGUUAAGCAGAUAAAGGAAAACACAAAGGUCAACCACUGUACAGAGGACCAUACCUAGCCAUGCCCUGCGCAAACGCCGCACAGUGCCACCGUGCAAUGUCAGGCGAACACUGUGCUACCUGACCGUCACAACGGAGCAUGAACAAGGAUGGAGUGCGAUGGUCAUACUGUACCCGGCGACGUGGGCAACGACAAGACUAGGCAGCGCUCGUACUCUCUCUCUCUCUAACUUGUAAGGCUGUCCCCUUGGACUAUAAAAGGGGAUGGGCCCUCUCUCUCCCAAAUAGGUGAAGCGUCCCCACAUCAGCGGAGACUAAAUGUGAUAGAAAUAUCAGUCCCAGGAGGCUGAUAACACAUUUAUUCGACAGAUGGUUCAAAAACCGUACAACUCCCGAAGGAGCGGGCGGGCAAGCCACACCCAAAGAAGAACUAAACCAAUAACGAUACAAAUCCAAGUUGCAGUCCAGUCGGACUCCGGGCUGCAAUCGGAACUAAGCGUCAGCGGAAGCAUUCUGCAAAAGCCAACACCACAGGCAGCGUUGGGUGCGGACACGACCUCCUACUCGAGAUCCUUGGCGAUGUAGUCUGGGUCUUCCUCUGAAGCAACAAAACAAGGGUGAGUACGAAGGUACUCAACAAGUCCAACCCCAUCCACGGAGGGGGAUACAAACAAGAGUAUGCACAGGAUAUAACAAGGAUAAGGUUAAGGUUCAUUUGCAACAAAGCUAGAUUUUCAACACAUGCAGAGGUUCAUUUCCAAAAGAGUUUUUGCAAAGCAUUUCCUUUAUUAACCGAAACAUUAAGUGGGGUUGAUCCUACACAAAGGAUCCAAAUUUUAUUGCUAUCGGACUCCCCGUCCGCCAUAGCUCAUGACACAACUGCCGGACACUUCCAAAGUCCAACACACGCCAUAAAAACCAUCCAUCUCCAAGUGCUAGUUAUGUGACCAAGCCGUAACUCGUCCAAUCCCAUGGACACAGCUACCCGGAUAGGUUUUAACUCUGCAGAGGUUGUACACUUUUCCCUCAAGUAGGGUACCGCAGUACGAUCACCUUAGUGCCAGUGCGAAUCCUAACAAAGCCAUUACCCACCUUAGCUAAGAAUGACUAGUCCACACGGAAGCAACCAAGGGGUUAAUGACAUACCAACGAGGUUGUAACCGGGACCUAAGUCACAAAGAUCUUACUCCUUUUUCAUGGGCUGCCGUUGCUCACUAGCUCACCCGAAGACUAACAGUUUAGCUAGUGGGAUUUAUGCUAAGCCGUUGCCGCAUACAAUGGAGUGGUUGCACGAAGGUUGGGUUAGGCAAGAUGACACAUUAACUUGGUCCUUAACCAUGACAAGAUGGAUAUCUCCCAACCUUGCUCAAGCACCAAGGUACGAGCCCAACAUAUUGGCAUUUCACACCUGAAACACCCAUCCAUCUCAUCUAAGCAUUUCUUUCCUUUACUUCCAAAAAACCCAAUUUCCCUUUUUAAAAUACUCACACAUUUAUUUUUUAACAAAACACAUUAUGGUCAUGACUGAAUUGAGUAACAAGGUCCUAAGCAUUCUAGCAGUAAUUAUCAUCCAAACAGAGCAAGUCAUAUUUAGAGAUAGUUAUAGGACAAGCAAGGAAUAAUCAUAACAAUCAAGGGGUGGCUAUCCAACCAUGUUUCGGCGGUAAAAUAAUAUGCAAUUUAUAAAAUAGGCCAAUAUGUUGUGUUUGAAAAACUAGGAUAAAUAUGCAUCAAAGGGUGAGAUUGGACUUGCCGUUCUCAAAGCCUUCCGGGAGUUCCUGCUCGCGGUACUGGUCCUCGGGCUCGGGCUCAUGGUCAAACUCCUCCUCAUGCUCCUCCUUGGGUACUCCACGAUCUAAGCACACACAAUCGAGCACACAAUAAAUAAAAGAGAAUUAAAAAUUUUCCCAUUGAGCUACGAACAGAGAAUGCGAACGGAAAAUUGAAGGAGUGAGCAUUUUCAUGAAAUUUGGAUAUGCCUCAGUGGAAGUAUAUGGGAGGAGGCCGUGAUCGAAUUUGGGAUCAAUUGGAGGAAGUUUGGCGCAUGAAAUGAUGAGUUAAAGGAGUGUUAGGGGCUUAAAUCAAGGUUUAGGACUAAACUGCGAGAACUAGGGACCUAUUUGUAAUAAUUUCCGAAAGGUGGAAGGGCGUAUCCGUGAGAUUUCUUUGAGAGAGGUGGGAGGGCUGGUUUGCAAAUAGGGGAAACUAGGAGGUUAGAUCGAAAUGGAGGCCUUCUUCUUCCUUGGGCCGAGACAGAGAGAUUGGAGGGGAGGGAAACCGGUGGGGGGGCCGGCCGGCCGGGCCUCACCGGCGGCAAGCUGAGUGGUGGGGGAGGUAGAGGGGGACGAGGGCGUCCCGUUUGAGGUUUCACCUCGGGCGGAUGGUGGCCGGAGAUGGGGCGUCGGCGGCGGGCAAAGGAGGCGGCGGCGGAGCUCCUGACAGCGGCGCACAGGGCGGUGGGGAAGGGGGUGACGAGCUAGGGGGGAGAUGCUGGUGGUGUGGGGAGGCGGCAGGGGCUCGGCCCCCUUUUUAUAGGCGGCGAGGAGGAGCUCGAUGGCCAGCGGCCUUCAAUGGUGGCCGAGAAUCCCGGUCGGUGGCGUGCCGGAGCGGAGCUCCACGUGGACGGCGUGGUGGGGCUGGCUCGGUCGACGAGGAGCACAGGAGGCACACAGGGGUGGUGGCCGGCGUGGCGUGCGGCCGGUGCUCAUCGGGCGGGGCCGGCCAGGCGCAGGCGGUGGCGUGCGGCUCGACGCGCGAGGCCGGGCGCGGGCGCGGAGCCGGACUAGGCGCAGGCGCGGGGCCGGCACGGGCCAGGCGCAGGAGCCGGGGCCGGGUGAGCGGUGCCAGGCGCCAGACGCCAGGGAGGCGGCGCUAGGGAGAGGAGAGGAAAGAGAGGAGGAGGGAGGAGGAAGAAGGAAGAAAGAGAAGGAAGGAAGGGAAAAAAGAAAAGGGGGAAAAGGAAAAGGAAAAAGGGAAAUCGGCGAUAGUUGCGGAAUUGGUCGGGCACGCGUGACGGAUUUGACGAGCACGCGGCUAAAUUUGCGGGGAACGGAAAAAGAUGAUUGUCGAUGUUGGGUGCCGGGAUGGCGGGUCGCCGAGAAGGAAAAGAUUUUUCGGGAGCUCAAUGGUCGAAAGAUUUUGAAAUAAAUUUUUUAGCGGGUGAUUUGAGUUAGUAAAUUUUACGGACAUUACAAUAGGCCAUACACAUGAGGCACAUCAAAAACCCUCUGAUUCUCUCCAGCACAUAGCACACGCUUUAAGCCCCCCGUCACUCUCUUCCACUUGGACCAGAGCACGACCGGGUCUCGGACACCCCCUUCUCACCCCCAACUCGUUUGUACCCCAACUACAAACUUGGAGCACCUGGGCUUAGGAAUACAGUCAACCAACUGACCUCGAACUGAACGUAGGUCACGUAGCCCGAACCAGUAUAAAACCUGUGUCAUUGUGUGCUAGGCCAUUCCGAUCUAACGCACGGCAAAACUACUAACAUUUACUUGUCGGCCAGAUUCCGCCCCGACAGCACUCAUCUCCAAACUUAACCCAUUUGAUUGUUCCUCUUUGCUUCCAUUAGAUCUUUUGUUGGUGAAGAAGGUUCUGUAAGUGAUUCCUAAUUAUGUGCCUAAAGAUCCAUUUUUCUAAGGUUAAAUCUCAUUGUUCUUCCAUAAUGUUCAGGAGCUGGAUCAAGUCUUUGCAGUUCCUGAUGGUAGCUGGUAAAUUUGGUAGUUGUGCUUUUCAAGCAUUUAACACUCUCCCCUUAGGUUCUUAAAUUUUGCACUUAUCGUCUUGGUACUAUCAAUUUGAGGGUUGGGCAAAUUCCAUCCAUGUUAUAGAACUAGCACAAAAUUCUCAUGUUCCAACCAAUAGCUUUCAAAUCUGAAUAUCCUAGGCUUAGGAACAUUUGUGCUUGCCGUGAUGGUACAUGGAGUGUGAUAUGAGAUGUCUCUGGACAACCCUGAGGCAAAGGAGUUUCAAAAAAUAGUUGUCCAAGCAUUAGAUGUGAAGAACCAGUCUAAUCUUUCCAGUAAAGGAUUCUGUUGCUUGUUUGUCCAGGUAAAUUUGCAUCCUCUAAAGGGCAAUUCCACUAAACUAAGGUUGCUAAUGGUUUCAUUAAAAGCCAGCAUUUCCUGAAGAUUACCCCUAGCUUAUUCCUAUCUUCUCCUAUCUUCAAGCUUCCUGAUGAGGUUGAAGUCUCAGCCAUUUUUCGUCAUCAGGCAUAUUAAUCCUUUUGAACCAGUUCAAAAAUGCGGUUUUGCCUUCUCUAGUACAGGGUGCAUAGAUAUUGGUUAGGAUCCAGUUUUCUCCAAUCUACCUACAUGAGAAUUAUACUGAUUGGGCAUAAUCAUUUUGAAAGUCCAAGUGACCACUGAACUUGGAACUGUUCCAGAUAAUGUUAGUCCCUCCUGAGUUACCCACUAAUAGUAAGAACACAUAAUCAUCCAUAUAUGCUGGAUAGAAAUUUUAACAUAUGUAAUAUCGAAGAAUUCUUUCUAAGUUUCUUGUAGACAUAGAAUAUCACAUUUGGAUUUACAAAUCUUGCUUUUGACCGCAUCCCAUUUCCCAUCAGAGUUAAUACCUCUAAUAUUCCACGAUAGAAUGACCCAAUUCCUUUUAUGUUGUCCCUGAUUAUAGAUGCUCAUUGAUGAGAAGCCCAACAAAUCGCAUGUGUAAGAUACAAUUAUCCACAGGAUGUCCAAACCGAAAUAAAUAAACAUUCUAAUUAAGAUAAAGAUCACCAGGAUCAACCACAUGUUCAUAAGGGAUAAUAAAGAAGUCCACAUCCCCAAGACAUUACAGUUUAACAAAAUCUCAACCAUUCCCAUCAUGAUACAGGAUAAACUAAUAAUGAAGAUAGCAAAUAAGAUCUUGCUACUUCUUGAUCUUCUUGCGUGAUUCCUCGGAUUCAAUCUCAUCGAUCUUCUCUUUGCUUUUCUCUCUCUUGGAGUUGAUUACCUUCCUGGAGGUCUUGUGGCUUCCAAUGACUUGCUUGUUCUUGCCUUUGUUGCAUAAUGCAUCCUCAGACAGAGCUUGUUGAAUAGCUUGUUCAGGUCCACUCUGCGGGAAGCCAUCUCCGGUGAGAUGUUCGGCGUCUCCGAACUUCUCCAGGAUCCAGCGGCUAUCGGAACCGGAGACAUGGACAACACUGAUUGAGGUGUUAGGAAUUUUCCUGCCAACCGAGAUCGUUGGAUCGGCAUGCCUGCAGAUUUCCUCUAUGACUGCCUCAUGAGAGACGACGACCACCCGCUCACCUGUUGAUGCAACACACGACAGCUUGAAAUUCACCACCGGGUACAAGUUUUGACCAUACAGCAGAGAGCACCAGAAAUUACUAUGUGGAUCGGUGCUUACCCUUGUGCUUCUCGGCGAUUGCAUUCAAGCGGGAAACACAGCGCUCGGAAAGUUGAUCAAGACUCUCCCCACCACCCUGUCCAAAAGGAGAUGACUAGUGAGUAAUAUAUAGCUUUUACUUCAACUAAGACUAAUUAAGUACAACUUCGAGAUCAGAGGAGAAUGGAAAUUAGUUACAGGUAUUUCUUGGUCUCUGCCACCACGUGCGAAAGCCUUGUAAGCUUCAGAUCUCUUGGCAUCGUCAAUGGUCCAACCUUGGAACAAUCCCAUGUGCCUUUCCGUCAGUGCCCGAUCAAUCACCAGCUGAAACAGCACAGAAGCCCAUUUAUUCGGAUGAUAUAUAGAACACGAAUUCGUGAAGCGAGAAAAAUUAGCACAUCAAAAAACGUUCAUACAUCAGAAUCAGAUACGCAGCAAUGCGCUGCGAUCGUUUGCGCAGUCUGGGAAGCACGCUUCAAGUCAGAGGAGUAGACGGCAGCUGGCUUGGCUUCUUCCGACAGACGACGGGCAACCUUGAGGGUUUGAACAAAAUCAGAAUCACGUACAUAAUCUCAAGUCAUGACGAUCUCACAAAGUAUGGCGUACCUUGGCAGCUUGCUGCCUACCAGUUUCGUUCAGCUCCUGAUCGAUCCGUCCCUGUUGAAACUUAAAAUAAGCCUUAACACAUGUUGUAUUGCAUCGCAGAGGGAGAAUCAUAUCUAAGUGAUGCGAUAAGUAGCAAGCUGUGACAGGACAGGAUGAACAAGAAGCGACCUGAAUGAUGCGGGAGACGUUCCAAUCCGUCUGUCCAUGGCGCACCAACACCACCUCCGCGAAGUGCUCGCCGUGCGUCGAUGCAGGUGCCAUGAUCGAUCGGCCGGCGUUACUGCUGCAGAGGGAAGGGGAGAUGGAUGGUCUGGAACCUCUCUGAUGCUGUAUGAUCUAGCUGCCCUGCAGAGGGAAGGGGCGACUUUAUGGAGGCCAGAGGCACAAGGGAGGAAACGCCGCGGCGAAGACCUGGGAUUUCCCUCGACAGCACCAGGAGGCCAUCUCCAUGUACGAUUGUUGCUUGGACUCCAAUGCAUCUCCAUGUACGCGACCACGGCGAAAAGGCCAUUUCCGUCGAGCGCACCUCCAUGCGACGGUGGCGGGGGGUUGACUAAAAAAUUAGAAACACGGUUUGAGCCACAACAGCCAUUCCAACAGCAGCUUCCGGAAGGCUCUGGAAGGCUCUGGAAUCACAAGCAUAAUUCGUGUACGUUUUGAAGAUGGAAAGAUGGCGACCUGCUAGUUGACUUCCAACAGCAGGUUUGGGCAACACGCCAUUCCAGCAGCAGGUUUGGGCAACGCCAUUCGAGGAUCGGCUUCUCCAGGAAGUACGUGGCCAACUAAUAUAACCUGCAGUUGGUCGGCGGACCAAAUUAAAGAAGCUAUCCACUUUCUUCUGCAUCAAGACCUCCUGUUAACCGGCCCCAUCCACUUUCUUCUCCAUCAAGACCUCCGGGGUCCUGCGCGGACCAUUGGCGCGGCCACGUCGCCCUGUUUUCCCGACGUCGGAUCGUGCGAUCCCGUAGGCAUGUGGAAUUUUGCAAAAAAAACCUUCAGUUCUCCGCUAAUCUACUUCGGGUUUAGGGAGGACCCUCGCCAACUGUAACCACGUUCAAUUUAUUUGCGGCACACCCCUUUGGUUAAAUAAUAUUUCAACAUCAAGAAGAGAAAAUUCCAAUUCUGCGUCGCUUUUGAAAAAAACCACCUGCCUAUCAUUUUGCGAAGAACCCCACCGCAACCUCGCAGCAACACACACUUGGCCCCAAGCCACCGCUCCCUCCCAAUUCUCUCCACAUCCCCCUCUCUCUAACCCUCCCGCCCUACCUGACGGCUGCCGCACACUUUAGUUGGCAUUGUUAGUGUCUUUUGAUGUUCUUAAUGCCUGCUACUGGUUCAGAUUUAUUUCUUUCCCCUUCUGUAUUUAACUAGGUUUGGUAGUAGCUUGUAGCCUUGCCUUUAUUCAACCCUAGCACCAGUAAAUGUAGGCCAUGGAGUUAUAAAAAAUUGAUAAACCAGCCACUUCAAUAAAUUGGUGUCUCCCAAUUCUAACUCUUGGUGCUUAUACCAAAAGCAAGCAUCGGACUGAAUAUUUCUGCAAAAAAUUAGCUUCAAGAUCGCUAUCUACGAUAUUUCGAUCAUUUGAUUUCUUUUCCUUUUCUUUUUUUUUGCGAAACACCAUUUGAUUUCUUGAUGGUGAUGAGUUAACUGUGUUGUGAGGUGAGAUAAUCCAUUGUCUCAAAUCAUUCCUGAUGUUGAGACCUUUAGUAAAAUGGCAUUUUGAGAAUAUUGUGGAUUGCUUUAAUUUUUACAGCUAGUGCUUGCAAACUCUGUAUGUGUCAUUCAGACAGCUUGAUUGCAUAUGACCUUCCUCAACAAUACAUUCAUUUUAUGACAUGCUUUUCAGGUUAGGUUGGAGAAAAAGAGGGCAAACUGAAGAUUGCGCUAAUGAAAACAAAUUUUCAGCUUAUGCUCCAAUAAUUUUCUAAAUCCUAUUAUCAUUAAUUAGUUUGAAGAAACGAUGGGAUCUGUAACCUGGUAAAGCUACCCAUUUAUAUGGAGACUCAAAAGACUUUCUAAUUUGCGCAGGUCAGCAGUGAUUAAAACAUUGCAUAAUUCUUUCUAUUUAUUACCAUGUAGUUUCAGCUUUUGUACCCGUUGAUUUGUCUAUGAAAUUAUGUGCACCGGAUUAAGGAAAGGUUAUGCCAAAAAUGGUGCUAGCUCAAUGACAACAAGACGUGAGCAAUAUAACCUAAUUAUCCAAUUUUGGUUGGUGGACAUGUGAUUUCCACCGUCGAAACUCCAAAAUUACAUUAAAAAUUGGGCCGGAGAAAUUAUUACACAGCUGUUUACCGCACUAAACAAUGAACUUUCGUGGCAAAAGAAAAUAAUAAAAUGAAGGGUCGUAGACAUGCCUGUUUCCAAUUUCUCUCUUGACAGGCCAACAGACCAACAUUGAUGAGAGGGCUACUUAGACUCCCUGAUACAUUUCUCCUAGGAGAGGCCUCGGAAUCUGCUGAAUGUCUAACUGAAGGACUCUAUAGAAUAAAAGAGAAUGUCUGUAAGUAAUAAUCAUCAAAUUUAUUUGUUGAAAGCCUGCAUCAAUCAUCAAUUACACUGCAUUGUGUUAACGGUAGGCCAUGUUAGCUAUUAUGUAUCCAAAAAGAUCAAAUUAAAUUUGAACCAGAGAAUCAAGAAAGAGAUGAAACAGAUGAAACGACCUACUAUGAGCCAAGAAAUUAUCUGUAUGUUUAAACUCUGAAUUAUCAAACAAUUCUAAAUUAAGCUGGUUUACAUAAAAGGAAAAGGUGUGUACUCCGUAUGAGCAUGGGCUUCCUAUUUUUAAGUUUUAAACCUGCUGAAUCAGAACGAUUUUAUGGCAUAGAGGUACUGAAUUACUGAUAAAGAAAACAUUGCAGAGAACAGUAACAUAUACACAAUGAAGGCGGAUCGCACAGAUGGUAGCAUGGCGCAGGGUAAGAAGAAGGCACGGAGCGGCGUUUUUUUUUAAAUUGAUUUAAUUUAGAAUAAAUACCACAGCAUUCUCACGUGGUACCUCUGCUGCUGCACAAAUUAUAGCAAAGACCGUCCGCCGCACGCGUACUGCUUCUACACAGUCCCGUGUCAUAGGCACACCGCACACACGUAUGGCUGCACUACAAAGCCGUUCCCCUGCCGAUGCAGAAGCAGCAAGCCAGCAUUAUUAGGGUAGAAUCAAACACUUUACACUUCAGGGUUACAUUCACAACUGCCUAUGAGCAGGCAUUUACAAGCAGCAGUGCAAUGCUUCAAAUUUCAGUGUGGUAUUGUUUACCCACAGAGGAAUUUCUAUACAAGUUCAUUAUCAUUGCACUGACAAGUGAGAGCAUUGUAGUAAUGGAAGAAUGGAGGCAUGUUCAAGCGUAUCAAGGACUCGAGGUAGCCGAUUGUAUUGCCGUACGAACAAGAGCAGAGCAGCAUGUUUUCUUGCCAUCGCCGCCAAAUGCACUCUGCAGAAAGCCAUCUUCAUUGAUGUGGCCGACGUCCCCGAGCUUCUCAAGGAUCCAAUGGCCGUUCUCACCGGAAAUAUGGAUCUCGCUGAUUGAAGUGUUGGGGAUUCUUCUGCGAACCAAUGUCGUCAUUGGAUUGGCGUGCCUGCAGAUUUCCUCUAUGGUGGCGCCAUGGGAGACCACAACCACACGCUCCCCUGCGAAUGCAACAUGUCAGCGCAACAGCGUAAAUAACGGUUCCAGUUUGGAGUUUGGAGUUGAUGAAGAAUUGGCAGCCAUAGUUAUGCAUCAUCAGGUGCAGGUUUUGACGGAGCUAGUAGCACUACUGUAAAUUGGACCUAGGUUUUAUCUGCUGCAUUGUACUGAAUACAGAUAGCACGAAGGAAUUGAGAAGCUAAAGAGUAAUCUGAAUCAGAUCAUUGCUUACCCUUGUGCUUGUCAGCUAUCAUGUUCAAGUAGGAAACACGGCGCUUGGAAAGUUGAUCAAGACUCUCCCCACCACCCUACCAAAAAAAUGAACGGAUUAGAUAACUAGUAUACAGCAACCAGAAGGAAAAAUGACUGUCACUGAUUCAGAAGGAUUCAAGGUAGCUUUGGGAGGAGAAUGGAAGUUAGUUACAGGAAUUUCUUGGUUUCGGUCAUCUGAUGAGAAAGCCUUUUUAUCGCCCAACAGCAGCAAUGCGUCAACCACAGUGUUAUAAAUCUGCACAUUGGGGGGCAAUCCUCUCACCCUCAUCUCCCCAAGCAAACUCCCAAUCGUCUCCAGAUCACCUUUCCUCCCGAGCCAGUUAACAAUAGAACCAUAUGUCACCACAGUUGGCAAAAAUCCUUUCGUGUCCAUAUCGCCCAACAAAAGCAAUGCCUUCCCAAUGUCCCCGCGCCGGCACAUUGUAGAACACGGCGUGCGGAAUGCACUCAGCUCCCCACCUCGCCUCAAUCAGCUUCAUCCCCUCCUCCACCCGCCCUUCCAAGCACAUCCCUCUGACCAUCGCGCAGGUGCUGUAGUUAUCCGCGCCGCCCUCCUCCGCAAGCAUUUCGUCAUACAGCUUCCGGGCAUCCUCCCAUCGCAGGCGCUCCACGAGAAGCCUGAGCAGGCGGUUGCAGUGCCUCGCCUCCGGGAGCGUGCUGUGCAUCUCCCUGGCGCGAGCGCACGUCUCGGCGGCCUUCCCUUCCAUCCCGGCGUCCGCGGGAGCGGGGUGAUGCGGGGCAGGAGCGGCGGCCGCGGCGCGAGGUGUGGGAGCGUUUAGAGAAAAAGGAAAGAAAGAAAGAAGAAUGGCUAGUUCAGUUGCUCGGUCCACAUUGGAACUGCUGCUUCUUCUCCUUGGUAGUGCUUCUGCUAACUUUCCAAAAAAAAAAUACUUCACUGAAAAUAAAAUAAAAGUUCACUGACAAAUGAGAGCAUUGUAGCCAUGAAGGAACGAAUUUACUAUAUGAUACGGUAGUGUUUCUAUUAACUUUCAAAAAAAAUACAUUUCACAAAUUACAGGGUGAUUGACUAAAAAUAGAAGUUCUCACGGACAAAUGAGCUACAAUGGAGGAAGGAAUGAAGGCAUCACCUAUGCUUUAACAGUCUGUAUGAACAUGAGCAGCAUAUUUUCGGUUACAAUGUACUCUGCGGGAAGCCAUCUCCGAUGAGGUGUCCGGCGUCCCCGAACUUCUCCAGGAUCCAGCGGCCAUCGGAACCGGAGAUAUGGACAACGCUGAUUGAGGUGUUAGGAAUUUUCCUGCCAACCGAGAUCGUUGGAUCGGCGUGCCUGCAGAUUUCCUCUAUGACUGCCUCAUGGGAGACGACGACCACCCGCUCACCUGUUAACGCAACACGCGACAGCUUCAGUGUGCAGCUUGAAAUUCAUCACCAGGUGCAAGUUUUGACCACACAGAGAGCACAAGAAAUUACUACGUGAAUCGGUGCUUACCCUUAUGCUUCUCGGCGAUUGCGUUCAAGCGGGGAACUAAGCGCUCGGAAAGUUGAUCAAGACUCUCCCCACCACCCUGUUCAGAAGGAGAUCAUGAGUAAUAUAUAGCAACCAACAGGGGGAAAGCAUGCCUAGGCCUAGCUUUUACUUCAACUAAGACUAAGUACAACUUUGAGAGGAGAAUGGAAAUUAGUUACAGGUAUUUCUUGGUCUCUGCCACCGCGUGCGAAAACCUUGUAAGCUUCAGAUCUCUUGGCAUCGUCAAAGGUCCAACCUUGGAACAAUCCCCCGUGCCUUUCCGUCAGUGCCCGAUCAAUCACCAGCUGAAACAAACAGAAGCCGGAUGAUAUAUGGAACACCAAUAAUUCGUGAAGCGAGAAAAAUUAGCACAAACUAAUACUAGUAUUCAAAGAGUGUUCAUACAUCAGAAUCAGAUACGCAGCAAUGCGCUGCGAUCGUUUGCGCAGUCUCUGAAGCACGCUUCAAGUCAGAGGAGUAGACGGCAGCUGGCUUGGCUUCUUCCGACAGACGACGGGCAACCUUGAGGGUUUGAACAAAAUCAGAAUCACGUACAUAAUCUCUAAGUCAUGAUCUCACAAAGUAUAUAUAGCGUACCUUGGUAGCUUGCUGCCUACCAGUUUCGUUCAGCUCCUGAUCGAUCCGUCCCUGUUGAAACUUAAAAUAAGCCUUAACACAUGUUGUAUUGCAUCGCAGAGGGAGAAUCAUAUCUAAGUGAUGCGAUAAGUAGCAAGCUGUGACAGGACAGGAUGAACAAGAAGCGACCUGAAUGAUGCGGGAGACGUUCCAAUCCGUCUGUCCAUGGCGCACCAACACCACCUCCGCGAAGUGCUCGCCGUGCGUCGACGCAGGUGCCAUGAUCGAUCGGCCGGCGUUACUGCUGCAGAGGGAAGGGGAGAUGGUCGCUCUUGCUCUAGCUGCCUUGCAGAGGUUCUUUGAAAUCUGGAACCUCUCUGAUCUCUUGUGCUAUAUGAUCUAGCUGCCCUGCAGAGGGAAGGGGCGACUUUAUAGAAAGGAGGCCAGAGGCACAAGAGAGGAAACGCCGCGGCGAACCCUAUCCAUCUCCAUGUACGCGACGCGAAGUAGGCCAUUUCCGAAGGGGCGAAGUAAGCGACGCACGCGACGCGAAUCCUAUCCACCACGAAGAGGCCAGAUUGCUUCGACUCCAUGCCAUCACGGUGGCGGGGUUGACUAACAAAUUAGAAACACGGUUUGAGCCACAACAGCCAUUCCAACAGCAGGUUGGUUUCCAUUCUAGCCAAGCCAUCCAUCGGACGUGUCUUUCCAACAGCAGCUUCCGGAAGGCUCUGGAAGGCUCUGGAAUCACAAGCAUAAAGCCUGCGCCUGGUCGGCGGACAAGCAUAAAACCUGAGUUGUCUUGUUCAUGAUAAGUACAAACCCCCGUGCACUUCUUCUCCACCGAGACCCCCGCGCCGGCCCUGCUUUCCCGUCCGUCCGAUCGAGCGGGUCCGGCCGUCCACAAGCAAGUUGGUAAGCGCAUGGAAUUUUGCAAAAAACGCCCUUCAGUUCUCCGCUAAUCUACUUCGGAUCUAGGGAGGCCCUUUGCCAACCGUAACCACGUUCGAUUUAUUUGCGGCACACCCCAUUGGUUCAAAAAUAUUUCAACACUAAGAAGAGAAAAUUCCAAUUCCACGUCGCUUUUUAAAAAAUCACCUGCUGGUCAUUUUGCGAAGAACCCCCAACCGCAACCGUGCCGCUAACACACGCUUGGUCUCGAGCCGCCGCCCCCUCCUAAUUCUCUCCGCAUCCCUCUCUUUCUCACCCUCCCGCCCUCCCCGACGGCCGCCGCACACUUUAGUAGGCAUGGUUAGUGUCUUUUGAUGUUCUUAAUGCCUGCUACUGGUUCAGAUUUGUUUUUUUCCCCUUCUGUAUUUCACUAGGUUUGGUAGUAGCUUGUAGCCUCGCCUUAUUCAACCUUAGCAUCAGUAAAUGUAGGUAAUGGAGUUAUAAAAAACUGAUAAACCAACCACUUCAAUAAAUUGGUGUCUUCCCAAUUCCAACUCUUGGUGCUUAUACUAAAAGCAAGCAUCGGACUGAAAAUUUCUACAAAAAAUUAGCUUCAAGAUCACUAGCUACUAUAUUUCGAUCAUUUGAUUUCUUUUCCUUUUUUUGCAAAAGACCAUUUGAUUUCUUGAUGGUGAUGAGUUAACUGUGUUGUGAGGUGAGACAAUCGAUUGCCUCACAUAAUUCGUGAUAUUUAGACCUUUAGUAAAACGGCUUUCCGAGAAUAUUGUGGAUUGCUUCAAUUUUUACAGCUAAUACUUGCAAACUCUGUAUGUGUCAUUCAGACAGCUUGAUUGCAUAUGACCUCCCUCAGCAAUACAUUAAUUUUAUGACAUACUUUUCAGGUUAGGUUGGAGAAAAAGAUGGCAAACUGAAGACUGCGCCAAUAAAAACAAAUUUUCAGCUUAUGCUUCAAUAAUUUUCUAAAUCCUAUUGUCAUUAAUUAGUUUGAAGAAACGAUGGGAUCUGUAACCUCGUAAAGCUACACAUUUAUAUGGAGAGACUCAAAAGACUUUCUGGUUUGCGCAUGUCAGCAGUGAUUAAAACAUUGCAUAGUUCUUUCUAUUUAUUAUCAUGUAGUUUCAGCUUUUGUACCAGUUGAUUUGUCUAUGAAAUUAUGUGCACCGGAUUAAGGAAAGGUUAUGCCAAAAAUUGACGUAGAAAAUGAGGCUGUGAUUGUACGAGUUCGAAAUGGUGCUAGCUCAAUGACACCAAGACAUGAGCAAUAUAAUCUAAUUAUCCAAUUUCCAUCGGUGGACAUGUGAUUUCCACCAUCGAAACUCUAAAAUUACAUUAAAAAUUGAGCCAAAGAAAUUAUUACACAGCCGUGGGAAGCCUGCGUGAACCGGUGAAACCUAAUUAUUACAUAUGUUGAUGUUGAAUGUGUUGCUAAAUCUUAUUAUUUGUUCUAUGAACAUGGGUCCAUGAUAUUGUGUAUUCUAUUUUGACCCUGACACACAUACAUAUCAAGAUGCAAGGUGCUGUGAUGAAUUAUGUCCUUGACCUCGAGAAGAAUUGUUAUCUUCAUGCAGAUCUCGCAAAAUCCAACUCCAGAAUCAUGUCCUUGACCUCGAGAAGAAUUAUUCUCUUCAUGCCUUAAGCUCCAGGACAUCUUUCUUGCUCCACUAUGUGGUUCUUCGUUAAUGCUGUCACACUUUUGAUCUCAUCAGAUGAUGCUUCACCUUAUUCUUGUGAGAAAAGAACUAGGAAACCAAUGUGAUUUUCUGAUUCAGGUAUCAUUCAAGUAGCUUUUGAGACUGUAUGUCAUGAAAGAAAACCAUGUGUAUUUUACACCUUGUUGAUCUAUGCAUGAUGAUAUCAGCACUUUGAGCUUACAGUAGCUCCACUACUACUGCUGAUAGAGUUUGUUAUAUCAGUCUACCCAGCUACCAACAUACCGACACAAAACUGGACAUUCAUAAAUUUAUUUUGAAAAUUUCAAAGCCAUCCUUUGGGACUUGGCUGUGGAAAUAUUGCUAUAAUGCUAGAGCAUCACUGGAGUAAAUUGCCAAUAGUUCUUAAAAGUCAACAGCAGGUUUUUUCCCUUUUUAACUAUGUGGGGGUGUUUGGUUCCCAUGUACUAAACUUUAGUCCACUAUUUUGGUGCACUUUUAAUCCCUAAACACCCAAACAGGUAGACUAAAGUUUGGACUAAAGACUUUAGUCCUCUAGUCCACAAAACUGGACUAAACUAGACUAAAGGAUGGUGGGGACACAUCUGCCCCUCAUUUAUUGCCCUCUCUCCCACCCGGCUCCCUCCCGCUGCCUCCCGCUCGGUCCCCGCCACCGUCGCUGCCUGCCGCCCUCCCUCCCGCCCGCUCUCUACCACGCGCGCCGAAUGUGGCGGCGGAUCCUGGCCGCACGGAGGCAGUCCCCCUGCCUAGUCUGCUGCGGUGGCGGUGCUAGUGCGUGGUGGGUAGACGAGCGACGCCCCCGGCCUCCACCCGCACCCGCUCCCCCUUAGCUCCGAGCGCAGCCAACGGCUGCCGCCGAGGGUGCCCCGCGCGGGGUGCCUCCGUGCGAUGGCGGGAGCCUACGGCGGACCUCCAUAGCCAUAGGGCGGCGGUGCUGGGCGGCUCGUCGGUGCUCAACCCCGCCCAUGGCAGUGGCUGCCCGUGGUUUGGGUUGUGUUUUGGGGAUUUUGAUUUGGCGCAAGGGAUUGAUCUGCGCUGGGCACUCAUCCCCCACCGCCGCCUCGCGCGAUGGAGGAUCCGCCGCCACAUCCGGUGCGCGCAGCGGGGAGUGGCGCAGCGACGGGGAGGCCUGCGCCUUGAGUGCCAUGUGGGCACAGGAGCGGAGGGGAGGCUGGGAGGGAGUGCCAGAACCAGAAGUUGGCAUAGGGGUACUGGCAGCAGGGGUAUAAAUGUCUUUGUUCAACAGCAUUUAUGGACUUUAGUCCAUUUUAGUCCAUGGAACCAAACAGAGGUGGGACUAAAGUUUAGUCCAUGGACUAAAGGAACCAAAUAGGGCCUAACUAGAAAUAUACAAUGGAUGUUCUCACAACGGCUGUUCUGUCCGAGCCCUACAGAAGAAGGCACCAUAGAGUCCAAGAGACCAGCCCCCGCGUCGCCCCCCACCGGGCCACUCGGGCGGCGACCACCCUCUAGCCACCGUCAGCCACCUCUACCCCCUUCUCCCUCGCUGUCGUAGGAGGAAACCACCAGGAGCCUGCGCGGCUCCCUAGGAUGGUGAUGGCGGGGUCUCUCUCGUCGCGGCGUGCUCCGGGUGGAACGCGGCAGCGGCCUCCCUUCUCCUAGCGGCGGCACGCUCGUCCUUGACCCGCGAUGUGUGCUUCCGUGGGCUCGACGACCGGAUCUGGUGAUGUUGAGGGUGGGUCCGGCGAGCGCGUAGCGGGCCCAGCCGAGGGAGCUCGGGCACCGCGGUGGCGGCCCUCAGUGGUGGCGGGGGCCCUUUCUGGUGGCCGGCGUGUGGAUCCACGACAUCGGAGGCUGAUGCCUGUGAGGCCAGGGCGGAUCAGGCGAACCCACAGCCAGGACAUGGCUCGGCCACCGUGGGCCAUGCUGACUCCCGGCGGCGGCGUGCGGCCACAGUACAGGGGCGGAGACGGAGGAAGGGGGCCACACAGGGAGCGGCUUUGGGGCACAGGCUGCAGUCGACGCGGGAGGUCGGGUCAGGCAUUCGCAGGGCUAGGGAACCCGUGCUGUAGUGGCCCGGAUGCAAUUGCGGCUGGCGCACAUGGAGGUCGUGAGGUGCGGCAGCGCCGGCAAGGACGUGCGGCUAGAGGUCGUGCAAGCGAGGAGGUGCGGCGGUGGCGUGGAGGCUACUCGUGUGGUGCCGUUGCAGUGGUGCGAGGAUCUACGCCGAUGGUGGUGGUGAGCCAUUGUUGCGGGAAACUUUUUGUGUGCGCACAUGGUACAACUGAGAUUUCGGCGGUGGCAAGGUGUAGGUGAAGUUAUUGGAGUAGCUCGGUGGAACCAUGUCACCUUUGAUGGCAAAGCAAGUCCGGAUCCUUGGUGUGGAGUCCAGCGACGGAAGUGGCGAGACCCCGUUCGCUUUAAGUUUGUGUGUCCGAGGAGUGGUGUGCGGCGGUGGAUGUGGUGAUGCCCCCACGCGUUUCGAGUUGCCUUGGAGGGUCAGGAUCCGGUGCGGCGUUUUGAUUGUUUGGUGUGUACGGUGCGGCAAUGAUGCUUCGGCGUUGGGUCCUGCAGAGCAGUGGCUUUUUCGGUGUGGUGCAGUGUGCUCCUCCUUUAACUUCUGCUGAUACAAAGCUGUGGAUUGGGAGAUCGAUGACUGUGUGUUUAUGACCUGAGGACGACAGAGGCACGGUGGAGAAACCUUGGUAGCUAUACGGCUUGCAGCAGACUGCGGCGGUCAGUCCUGCAUGGCAGCGGCUGGUUCAGCGUGGGACAUCGUUGGGGAUGACGGUGCUGGCGAUAAGGGCUACUUGUCGGUUUUUCCUGCUGGGUGGUGGUGGUGUGGCGUGGUGGUCGCUGCUCAAGCUUUAGCGUUGCGUGGCUUGCAUCGAUGUCUCAAUCGACCGGUCGUAGAGUUCUUUUUUGUUUUGAGUUGGGUUGAGUCGGCAUUUCUAUUGGGAGCUACUUUGGUGACUCUGCUGGUGUACCUAGUCUGGAAUCUUUUUUCUUUUUAAUAUAAUCCGUAGCUCUCCUAACUCGUUCGUUUCGAAAAAAAUACAAUGGAUGGUAUGCUGCACACUAAACUAGCCACUAGGCUGAUGGCUAAUGCUCAUGUUUCUGUUCUGUUAUAGCCACUAGACUGAUGACCUAUGCUCAUGUUUAUACAUAUGAGAAUUAUGGCGGCACUAAACAAUAAACUUUCGUGGCAAAAGAAAAGAAUAAAAUGAAGGGUCGUAGACAUGCCUGUUUCCAAUUUCUCUCUUGACAGGCUAACAUUGAUGAGAGGACUACUUAGACUCCCUGGUACAGUUCUCCUAGGAGAGGCCUCUGAAUCUGCUGAAAUGUCUAGCUGAAGGACUCUACAAAAUAAAAGAGAAUGACUGCAAAUUUAUUUGCUGAAAGCCUGCAUCAAUCAUCAAUUACACUGCAUUGUGUUAACAGUAGGCCAUGUUAGCUAUUAUGUAUCAAAAAGAUCAAAUUAAAUUUGAACAUGAGGAUCAAGAAAGAGAUGAAACGACCUACUAUGUGCCAAGAAAUUAUCUGUAUGUUUAAACUCUGAAUUAUCAAACAAUUCUAAAUUAAGCUGGGUUACAUAAAAGGAAAAGGUGUGUACUCCAUAUGAGCAUGGGCUUCCUACAUUUAAGGUACCGAAUUACUGAUAAAGAAAACAUUGCAGAGAAGAGUGACAUAUACACAAUGAAACUGGAUCGCACAGAUGGUAGCAUGGCGCAGGGUAAGAAGCAGGCACGGAGUGACGUUUUUUAAAUUGAUUUAAUUUAGAAUAAAUACAACAAUAUUCUCACGUGGUAUCUCUGCUGCUGCACAAAUAAUAGUAACACAUAAAAGGGGAAGGUUUGAGAUAACGAGGAAUGGCUACCGAUGGAUGGGACUAAAUUAAAGUUAUCUAUUCUAUUGCCUCCAACUCCAAAGCAACAGGGUAGAAUCAAACACUUUACACUUCAGGGUUACAUUCACAACUGCCUAUGAGAAGGCAUUUACAAGCAGCAGUGCAAUGCUUCAAAUUUCAGUGUGGUAUUGUUUACCCACAGGAAUUUCUAUACAAGUUCAUUAUCAUUGCACUGACAAGUGAGAGCAUUGUAGUAAUGGAAGAAUGGAGGCAUGUUCAACCGUAUCGAGGACUCGAGGUAGCCGAUUGUAUUGCUGAAGGACCGGAAAGGCGACCGGAGGGAGUGAAUGGGAGCUGAUUCAAAUUUUCUCAAAGAACCUCGGCUAAAGUCCCAACAUAAUCCACAAAAUUCUCUUCUAGCAAUAUCAAGUCCCCUUAGCUAUGCAGGAGCUAAUGGAUGGACCUAGGAAUAUUGCUAGGAACCCAAUUUGAGACUAGCGGAAGCAAGAAAAAGCCCAAACAAGUAUCGGGAGAAGAAAUUCGAAAACCAACUAAAAUUUGGAAAAUUCCGGAAAAUCCUUCGGAAACUUCCAAACUUUCGGAAAUUUCCGGAAAACCUUCGGAAAAUUGCAGAACUCCGGAAAACAGCCUUCGUGAGGAAGUGGGAAAAAUCAAUAACUCGAUCAAACGACCUCCAAAAUCACGAAAUUUGAACCAUAGACUCACAGCAACAUACCAAAGGUAUUUCCCAAAGGCUCAAGUCAAAAAGCCCAAGAAUUGGUAAAUAGAUUCAAAGGAUUUGGGAAGGGCACAAGAAAGGGGAUUUUCAGGGAAUCUCAAAAUUCAAGCCAAAUUUGCGAGGGAUUUGAGGGAGAUCACAUUAUAGAUGCUCACACGGGUCACAAAAACAAUUUCUCCUAACAAAUCUCACGGGAUUUGGGCUCAAACGCGAAGAACGCAAAAUCCCAAAAAAUACAUCUGAAAAUACUGAGAAAGAUAAAUUUUAGAUUCAAAGAGGAUGGAACAAUAUGGCACAAAAUUGAUCUUUGGAUUACUCCACCAUGUUUGGUUUCAAGCCACUCCUAAGCACAAUCCAAACUAGGACGACAAAAAGAUCAACUCACACCUCUCUCCCUCUGCCAAAGGCUCUCACAAAGCAAAUGAGAAAAUCCCCACCAAAACAAGCAAAGGGAUGGCUACCCCAACCAGCCAUCUCUCCUAUAUAUAGGCAUCUGGAAAAUAUCCAGAAUACCCUUACAUGAAGCACACAACUCAAAUACCCUCCAGGGCUAAAAUUGUCCAACGUUUUCCUCGUACAUCUGAUGGACCCGGCGCCUUCACGACUUCGCUUCGCCUCGACGCAAGCUUCGUGUGGUGUCACGCAUCCUCUGACUCGACGUCGUCCAGCCGCAUCGAAAUCGUCCCCUGAUUUUGAGGCCAAACUGGUCAAACCCUCUUGCACACCCCGCAAGCGUGACUCAUCCCCGAUUUUGAGGCCAAGCCGAUCAAACCCUCUCGCACGCCCUGCAAGGCAUGAUUCACCCCCUUGUUUUGAGGUCAAACCAGUCAAACCCUCUUGCACGCCGCGUACGACGUGACUCACCGAUGUUGAUGCGUGUCCGGUCUCCGCCAAGCCUUCGACGCCUUCAAGUCUUUCGCUCCUGGCUCCCGGGCCACCUACUCGACUCGCCUCCGUCCCGCUUGACUCGACCGACGCCGUCUCCAUCUCGUCCGUGUACUCUUGCUCUUUCAUGCACCAUAUGGAUCGUCCAUGACUCCGCUUGGACUCCUCGGGUCCCUCGAUCCAAACAUUCAUGCCCACCCUUCACAACGCUAGUACAUUGGUAUGAACCUUUCGCUUGACCUUCACCUCAUGCCGUCGACCGCCAUGUCGCAUCCUACACCUGCACAUCACAAGCCAAGAGACACAACACACAAGAUAUGUUUUAUACAAACACCACAACACAACUCACACAACUCACACAUCUAGUUAGCCGUUAGCAUAAUCAAGUGCAUAUGGAAUAUGGACUCAACCGGUAAAGACUCAAAUCAUCUAGUUAAUCACUCAUCACAAAUAGACCAAGACACAUGUCAACUUGGUCUCUCAAUCUCCUUCAUAAGUGCAUUGACAAAAGAUGAUUUGAAAGCAAAAGAGAACUCAUUCAAGUGCCCAAAAGCCAAAUAAAAGCAAACACAAGGCAACUUGAUAUGAAAAAGGAUCAUGCAAGCUCUGAACAAAAAACUCUAGGUUCCCAAAGAAGAGACAAAAAACUUAACACAACCGAAGAGUCAAGAAAAAGACACAAGAGCUUCAUGAAUCCCAAAAUGCCAUCAAAGCCAUUUCAAUAUUUGUCAAACGCUCAUCACAAUUAAAUCAAGGUUCAUAUCAACUUGAUUUUCUCAAUCUCCCCCUUGAUGAGUGUGUUGAAACCAUUCAAGCACAAAGAAAUGGUUUGAGAGGCAAAAGUCAAAAAUCUCAUCCAAGUGAUCGAAAGCUAAGUAAAAACUAAGAUCAAAGUUACUUGAGAUGAGAACAACCAUAAAAGCCAAGUUGUGAAACCAAUUAGGCAAAGCUCCCAUUCAAGUGAUCGAAAGCCAUGUAAACGCUAUGAUUAAAGUCACUCGGCAUGAGAAGCAUCACAAAGACCAAAUCAACUUGGAAAAGUCUCAGUUCCCAAAGACAUGGGCAACGGCUCGACACAACCGAGACAAAGAACACAUGAUCUCUCAAGAAGAGGCAGAAAGGGCUCAACACCAAUCAUGUGAAGAUCGAAAACACAUGAUCCCUCAAGAAGAGGCAGAAAUGGCUCAAAACCAAUCAUGUGACGAUCGAAAACUCAAACCAAAUGCCAGCUCCUCAAGAAGAGGUAAAAAGCUCAACACGACCGACAAAAGAGCAAAAGAGAGCACAAAACUAGCACAAAGCUAGAAUCGNNNNNNNNNNNNNNNNNNNNNNNNNNNNNNNNNNNNNNNNNNNNNNNNNNNNNNNNNNNNNNNNNNNNNNNNNNNNNNNNNNNNNNNNNNNNNNNNNNNNNNNNNNNNNNNNNNNNNNNNNNNNNNNNNNNNNNNNNNNNNNNNNNNNNNNNNNNNNNNNNNNNNNNNNNNNNNNNNNNNNNNNNNNNNNNNNNNNNNNNNNNNNNNNNNNNNNNNNNNNNNNNNNNNNNNNNNNNNNNNNNNNNNNNNNNNNNNNNNNNNNNNNNNNNNNNNNNNNNNNNNNNNNNNNNNNNNNNNNNNNNNNNNNNNNNNNNNNNNNNNNNNNNNNNNNNNNNNNNNNNNNNNNNNNNNNNNNNNNNNNNNNNNNNNNNNNNNNNNNNNNNNNNNNNNNNNNNNNNNNNNNNNNNNNNNNNNNNNNNNNNNNNNNNNNNNNNNNNNNNNNNNNNNNNNNNNNNNNNNNNNNNNNNNNNNNNNNNNNNNNNNNNNNNNNNNNNNNNNNNNNNNNNNNNNNNNNNNNNNNNNNNNNNNNNNNNNNNNNNNNNNNNNNNNNNNNNNNNNNNNNNNNNNNNNNNNNNNNNNNNNNNNNNNNNNNNNNNNNNNNNNNNNNNNNNNNNNNNNNNNNNNNNNNNNNNNNNNNNNNNNNNNNNNNNNNNNNNNNNNNNNNNNNNNNNNNNNNNNNNNNNNNNNNNNNNNNNNNNNNNNNNNNNNNNNNNNNNNNNNNNNNNNNNNNNNNNNNNNNNNNNNNNNNNNNNNNNNNNNNNNNNNNNNNNNNNNNNNNNNNNNNNNNNNNNNNNNNNNNNNNNNNNNNNNNNNNNNNNNNNNNNNNNNNNNNNNNNNNNNNNNNNNNNNNNNNNNNNNNNNNNNNNNNNNNNNNNNNNNNNNNNNNNNNNNNNNNNNNNNNNNNNNNNNNNNNNNNNNNNNNNNNNNNNNNNNNNNNNNNNNNNNNNNNNNNNNNNNNNNNNNNNNNNNNNNNNNNNNNNNNNNNNNNNNNNNNNNNNNNNNNNNNNNNNNNNNNNNNNNNNNNNNNNNNNNNNNNNNNNNNNNNNNNNNNNNNNNNNNNNNNNNNNNNNNNNNNNNNNNNNNNNNNNNNNNNNNNNNNNNNNNNNNNNNNNNNNNNNNNNNNNNNNNNNNNNNNNNNNNNNNNNNNNNNNNNNNNNNNNNNNNNNNNNNNNNNNNNNNNNNNNNNNNNNNNNNNNNNNNNNNNNNNNNNNNNNNNNNNNNNNNNNNNNNNNNNNNNNNNNNNNNNNNNNNNNNNNNNNNNNNNNNNNNNNNNNNNNNNNNNNNNNNNNNNNNNNNNNNNNNNNNNNNNNNNNNNNNNNNNNNNNNNNNNNNNNNNNNNNNNNNNNNNNNNNNNNNNNNNNNNNNNNNNNNNNNNNNNNNNNNNNNNNNNNNNNNNNNNNNNNNNNNNNNNNNNNNNNNNNNNNNNNNNNNNNNNNNNNNNNNNNNNNNNNNNNNNNNNNNNNNNNNNNNNNNNNNNNNNNNNNNNNNNNNNNNNNNNNNNNNNNNNNNNNNNNNNNNNNNNNNNNCUGACUCCCCCUCAACCAAAGACACCUAGCAAGAAAAGCUAGAAAAAGAAGGGGUAAAAGAAAAGUUCUAACUCCAAUAAAAAAAGAAGAGAAAAUGCAACCUAAAGAUAAGGGAAGCCCAAAAGCAAAAUAAAGAUCAAUUCAUGUCACACAAAGCAAUGAUGAUACCAAUAAGAGGAAUUAGAGCAUUGCAACAUGAUUCUACAUUUAUGAAUAAAAGAUUGGGCAAGCAAACAUGUCAACAAGGUGCGAAGGAUUAUACAAAGAUACUAAGCUAAAAUGAUACCAAAUGAACAAUAUACCAUACCCAAUACAAAGACUAAGCAAAAGCAUGGUACGAUGUUCAUGUGAAUCAUCCACCAAGAUAUAUUAAAAAGCUAGCAUGACAAGAUACACAUGAAGAUCACACAUGCUAACAUGAAUAGGUGGCUAGCCUACCAUGGUAUAUUCACAGCAUGAUACAAGUAUAAAACUUGCAAAAGAGUCCACAAGUGAGUAGUAUACACGAAAGGAAAAACUCACUAUACAAGUGUACAUCCAAACAGUGUGGAGAGCCAUCAAGUCUUGAUCACCUCAAGCAAAAGAUCAAGUCCCUUCGAGCUCAUGUCCUCCACCUGCAUCCCCAUACCUACACAUGAGGGGACAAAGAAGACCGAGUCUUGCAUCCCAAAGGGUUAGUAAGCAUAUACUUGGGAAUCCAAAACUUAGUCACACGGGUAAAAGAUACACUCAACUUAUCAUGUGGGUUAGCAUGAUGCAAAUGCCGGUUCAAAUGAGAUGAUUUUGAAAUACCCUUGGAACCAUGCCUCAAAGAAGCAACUCGAGAAGAAGAACAAGUGCUACCACUAGCAAAAAGACAAUGAUCCCCUGGGGUCUUAAGAGAAGAACCAACACAAGCACCAUGAGAACCAUGGCGUGGACCAACAUAAGAAUAACUAGAAGCAUGUCCACGAGCAUGACCUAACUCACUAGAAAAGUAGUCAUAAAACCCAUCAAUGAAAUGUGGCUUCUUACUAGGCUCACAAGUGCUCAUGCCAUGAGAUGGGCUAUGAACAACCAAAGGCCUAGAAACACGAGUUCGUCACAUUUGUCUUGCACGACGAUAACAAAAGCUAUCUUGAUGCCCAUCUUUCUCAUAAUAGGAGCAAUGGUACAAAGGCCUUUUUGUAGGCACGGUCCGAGAGGAUGAAUCAUCAUUCUCAUUCAAGUGAGAAAUCCCUUGGGACUUAGAGCAAAAAGCAUCAACAACACCAUUUGACUUGGUGCCCAACAUUAGGUUCACACGUGCCAUGGGAAAGGCUACAUGGCUUUCUAAAAGCUUUGGCACGCACACAUCGCUCAUGCUUGAUAUGGCGAAAACAAAACUCAAUGGUAUGCCCAUCUUACAAAAGGUGCAAUGAAACUUUGGUUUGGGAGUAUGAGUUCCAAAAGUGUGAGAAGCACCCUUGCCACUUGAAUUAUCUUGAGCAAAACUGGAAGAAGCAACAAGCUUAAGAGUAGCUAUAGAAGAGCUAUCCAAAGCACUAGCACAAGUACUAGCAUCCAAAGACUCACGCUCAAUAGAAGAAAGCAACUCCAGUUGGGAAGAAGCAAUUUUGGAAACACCAACAUCGGAGUGAUAAGAAUUGCGAGAAUCAAAAGACUUAGCACUAAGAAUCUUGCAUCUUGUGGCUAAAACCUCAUUUUCAUGUUUGAGACGAUCACAAGUACCACAUGGAGCAUUUCUCAAAUUAUCCAUCUCCUUUUCAAUACACUUAGCAUAUGUAGUACGCAAGAGUUCAUUUUAUUUCUCAAGGUUGGCACUCAUCUCAUUGCGCUCAACCAACUUGGCACUCAUAUCAUCGCGCAUUUGCUUCAAAGUUAAAACUUGAUUUUCCAAUUCAAUGCAUGAUGUGCAAAUAAGACCGCAUGAACAAUCAUCAUCAUUCACAUCACUCACGAUAUCAUGAUUAUCACAAGAAGUAAGGCAAGCAUCAUCAUCAAGAACCAAAGAGCACAUGCUACAAGGCAUAGACUUUAUUUCACAAAUUUCAGCCCUAGCAUGCUCAAGUUGUUCAACUCAUGUGGUAUGAGUCAAUUUUAAGUCAUUAAUUUCAGCAAACAAAGACUCAUAUGAAACACAUGGCAAAGAAGCAUUAGACUUCAAAAGAGCAAUUUCAUCCUAGCCUUAUCAAGAUCAUUAUUCAAAGCAACACAUGAAUUACAUGGCAUAGAGGUAUUGGAUUUCAAAAUUUCAUUUUUAGAUUUUAAAGCAUCAUAAUCAAUUGAGAGCUCAUCAAGUAGUCUUCUACGAGAUUCAAGUUGCUUGUCACCAAGAUAAACAUCUCUUUUUAGUUUCUCAUUUUCAAUGUGCAAAACAUCACAAGAUUUGCAUGGUAGAGGUAAGCUAGACUUGCAUGAAAUUAAAGCAUUCACAUUAUCAAGUCUAGACAUGUCCAAAUUUUUCUUAAGCUUAGCAAUCGUCUCGCCAUGAGCACAAAGGCAAGUGAACAAACCAAUUAUACCUUGGGAGAGUUUACCUCUACUCAUCUUGUGAAGCUUGCGUUGGAGAUCAUCUUCUUGAGGCAUCUCAUCCAUCAAAAGACGCAUCAAUGCCAUCACUUCAUCAUCCUUGUUUAGAUCAUCCCGCUUCUUUCUGCUUUGAUGUGACCACACCACCUAGGGACAAAGAACCAAUAGAACAAGAGCUUGGUGCCAAAACUCAAAGCACCGGUUAGGAUUAGCCAAAAACAAGCUCAAAUCGUGAAAACCAAAUCCGCAAGCAAAAGCGCUCUUUACCUUGUCGCCCCGUGGAUCACAAAGCUGAUUAAAGUUGUGUGAUUCUUAACCAAGCUCUAAUACCAAUUGAAGGACCGAAAAGAUGACCAGAGGGGAGGUGAAUGGGAGCUGAUUCAAAUUUUCUCAAAGAAUCUCGACUAAAGUCCCAACCUAAUCCACAAAACUCUCUUCUAGCAAUAUCAAGUCCCCUUAGCUAUGCAGGAGCUAAUGGACCUAGAAAUAUUGCUAGGAACCCAAUUUGAGACUAGUGGAAGCAAAAAAGAGCCCAAACAAGUAUCGGAAGAAGAAAUUUGAAAACCAACACUAAAGUUUGGAAAAUUCCGGAAAAUCCUUCGGAAAUUUCCGAACUUUCAGAAAUUUCCGGAAAACCUUUGGAAAAUUGCAAAACUCCGGAAAACAGCCUUCAUGAGGAAGUUGGAAAAAUCUGAAACUCGAUCAAGCGACCUCCAAAAAUUAGAAAAUUUAAACCAUAGACUCACAACAACAUACCAAAGGUAUUUUCCAAAGGCUCAAGUUGAAAAUCCCAAGAAUUGGUCACUAGAUUCAAAGGAUUUGGGAAGGGCAUAAGAAAGGGGAUUUUCGGGGAAUCUCAAAAUUCAAGCCAAAUUUGUGAGGGAUUUGAGGGAGAUCACAUUAUAUAUGCUCACACGGGUCAUAGCAACAAUUUCUCCUAACAAAUCUCACGGGAUUUGGGCUCAAACGCGAAGAACGCAAAAUUCCCAAAAAUACCUCCAAAAAUACCGAGAAAGAUAAAUUUUAGAUUCAAAGAGGAUGGAACAAUAUGGCACAAAAUUGAUCUUUGGAUUACUCCACCAUGUUCGGUUACUAGCCACUCCUAAGCACAAUCCAAACUAGGAUGAGAAAAAGAUCAACUCACACCUCUCUCCCUCUGCCAAAGGCUCUCACAAAGCAAAUGAGAAAACCCCCACCAAAACAAGCAACGGGAUGGCUACCCCAACCAGCCAUCUCUCAUAUAUAUAUAGGCAUCCGGAAAAUAUCCAGAAUGCCCUUACAUGAAGCACAUAACUCAAAUACCCUCCAAAGGUAAAAUCGUCCAACGUUUUCCUCCUAUAUCAGAUCAUUGCUUACCCUUGUGCUUGUCAGCUAUCAUGUUCAAGUAGGAAACACAGCGCUUGGAAAGUUGAUCAAGACUCUCCCCACCAACCUACCAAAAAAAUGAACGGAUUAGAUAACUAGUAUACAACAACCACAAGGAAAAAUGACUGUCACUGAUUCAGAAGGAUUCAAGGUAGCUUUGGGAGGAGAAUGGAAGGUAGUUACAGGAAUUUCUUGGUUUCUGUCAUCUGAUGAGAAAGCCUUGUAAGCUUCAGGCUUGGUACUGACGGCAUCAUCAAACUUCAAACCGUGGAGAUCUCCCAUGUGCCUUUCUCUCAGUGACUGAUCAAACACCAGCUGAAACAAACAGUAGUUAAUUUAUUUAAAACAGCAAUUCGAAAAAUUAGCAUACAUUAUGGAGACAUGACAAGCAGUAAUUCAAGUUGUCCCAGAGGAUUCAUACAUUGGGUACAUGGCAAGCUAUUGCGAUAGUUUGUGCAGUCUUGGCAGCGCGCUUCAAAUCAGAGGAGUACACAGCAGCUGGCUUGGCUUCUUUGGACAACCGAAGGGCAAGCUUCAGGUUUUUUUUUAAUAAAUGAUAAUAUCAGAACCACGUAAAAGCAUGAUUCCGAGACAUAACCGCACAAAGUAUAACUACCAUGAUAGCUUGCUGCCUACGGAGUACCAGUCUCAUUCAGCUCCGGAUCCAUAAAGAGUUGAAUACCGAGCCUCGUGAAGGAGGAGAAAACUAAUGGAACAAUGGUGAGAAGGGACUUCUAUACUGAAGUCUGAAUUGCUGAUACUGUUAGCAACAAGCACCUGAUUCAACUGGAGGAGCCAUUUCAAGCAUAAUCAUUGAAAUCACAAAACAGUUUUGAAAAGAUCGAAUCAUCCGGAAAAAAGGAGGAUUCUCUUUUUCCUUCUUCCUCGGUACAAAUUGCAGGUGGAGAAGGAUAGGGAGAGAACUGACCUGAAUGAUGCGGGAGGCGCUCCACGACGUCUCUUCAUGCCGCACCACCAUUACCUCCGCGAAGUUCUCGCCGUCCUGCGAUGCAGGUGACAUUGCUCGAUGGGCGCUAGCCGCUGCAGUGAAGAGGAGAGGGACGGACCUUCCAUCCAGGUGCUUUUGUUCCGGUUGACUUUGAACCCGAGACUAAAGUGUCUUUAGUCCCGGAUCAAAAAUGAUGCACCGAAGGCUACCGACGGAAGGGGCUUUAGUCCCGGUUGUAACUGCUAAAAAAUUUGGUACCGACGCUACCCCUUUGUCCCAGUUGGUAAUUCCAACUGGGACUAAAUCUUUUGUUCCGGUUGAAUAUACCAACCGGGGUAAGGGGGCUUUAGUCCCGGUUGGUAGCUUCAACCGGAACAAAACGCCCUUCACGCGCCCCCUUCUCUUUCCACGUUAUCUUUCUCCUCACACCCUUCCUUCCUUAUCCUCGCACAGCACUCCUCUCCACUUCUUAUCCACCGACGCCUCCUCUCCUCUCCACUCCUUAUUCACUGGCACCUCCUCUCCUCCACUCUCCUCUCUGCGCUGCCGCCACCCCAUCCUCCCUCUGCUGCCCCUCCCCUUCCCCCUCUGCUCGCCCCUCACUGGCAGUGAGGAGCGACAACGGGGCGAGGGCAGGGCAGUGGCGCGCGGGGGAGCUGCGUCGACCAGCUAGAGGCGGCCCCACGAGCUAAUGCGGCUGGGCGGCGGGUGGCCGAGCGGUGCCGGGCAGGCGGCGGUGGGCGAGGGCGGAGCGGAGGUGGACAGAGGUGGGUGGCGGCAGGUGAAGGCAGAGCCGAGGUUGUCGGUGGCGGAGCGGAGGCGGGCGGCGACUGGCGGAGGCGAGCAGUGGUGGAGCCGAGGCAGUGGCGGCAGGCGGAGGCCCAUUUUUUUUAUUUUUUACCUUUUUAGUCCGGGUUGGUAAUACCAACCGGGACUAAAGGACGUCUUUAGUCCCGGGUGAAUGACUCAGGACUAAAGGACCUCCCCUUUUAUCUCGAAAACUUAGUCCCGGUAGGAUUUUCGUGAUCUAUGGCCCUAUCCAACCUGGACUAAAGCCGCAUUUUCCACCAGUGGCAGCAUCCGGAAGGCUGGAAUCACAACCACCUCUCUUGUCCUAUAUAUAUAAUUACCCCGUCCACUUGUCAUAUGUGUUCUUAAUAUUUCUCAUAGUUGACUGUAAUCUCGUCUUGGUUUAUUUAAGUUAGAAAGAAACACGGGAAGAGCAACAGCGCGUUAAUUGGUUUCUGCUCCAAGUCUAAAAGUCUUCCAAGUUUGUUGUACCAGAAUGCUGAUGAUUGCUAUUCAGCCAAGCAAACGAAACACGGUUGCAGAGUGAUGAUACAUCAAGUUCAUGACAUUUAUACUAGACCACACGCCCAAGAAAAUGCAAUGUAAAAACACGGAGAGGCGGAGGCGGUCGGCGGCCGCGGCGCGAGGGCAGAGACGGUGGACGCGGCACGAAUUGAAGAACCUCAAAACGCCACGGCAAGCGGCAUUGUGGCCGUUGAAUGGCGGGGUUGUAGCCCUCAAGCCGCAUCCAACCAUCACCAAAUGCACUAUGCGGGAAGCCAUCUCCGGUGAGGUGUCCGGCGUCCCCGAACUUCUCCAGGAUCCAACGGCCAUCGGAACCGGAGAUAUGGACAACGCUGAUUGAGGUGUUAGGAAUUUUCUUGCCAACCGAGAUCGUUGGAUCGGCGUGCCUGCAGAUUUCCUCUAUGACUGCCUCAUGGGAGACGACGACCACCCGCUCACCUUUUAACGCAACACGCGACAGCUUGAAAUUCACCACCAGGUGCAAGUU